rnacentral:lncRNA from 1 species
UUUUAAUUUGGGGAAAGCAGUGACCCUUGCAAUUUCUCCUUCAUUAAUACUGGCAUUCUCAUCUUUUUCUAUACCUAAAAAUCCAGCAUCCAGCCUUCUCACCUUCACCCAUCAAUACCAGGCUUUCAAGGUUGGGCAAUCUUCCCAACGGAGGCAAGACCUCCACGUUUUCACAAUCACAGUUAAGCCCUGUAAUCUGGUUAAUGUCAUCAUCCAAUUUGGCAAUCCAACCCUCCGUACUAUAUGGUUAGAUUUCCAAGUCUGACGGAGGCUGUAAAGCUUCAAUUAAAGAGCCUUCAUUCGCUUGCAACUCUGUUAUCUCUCUGUCGAAAAACAAUCCCAAACAACGCAGGCGUUUCUUAUUCUUGAGUUGUGCUUCUGCAGCGUCACUCGCAUCUUCUUUACCGACUCCUAGAUUCUGUAUCUGAAGACUACCUCCAAUGUGAUUUAAGUUUUUUAAUUCUCUCAGAUUAGCUGCUUUACUUCCAUUCUCACCACCACCACACACAGUAAACCGAUCUAAUGUUCGAAGACAUGUUAUCCUCUCUAUUCCCUUUGGUAUGAAGGCCACUUCUGAACCAUAAAUCCGGAGAUGCCUCAAUUUGAUAAGUUUUCCAAUAGCCUUGGGCAAUUCCUUGAGAGACCGACACCAAGUAACAUCUAGGGAUUGCAGAUUGCAUAAAUCACACAUGGUUUCUGGCAGGGAUUCCAACUGAAAACAAGAUGCCAGAUUGAGGUGUCUCAAAUGUAUCAAUUUCCCUACCUCGUUUGGUAUUUCUUUGAUUGAAGACCCUGACAAAUUCAAUGACCUGAUGCAUGUCAACUGCUUGAACAAAUCAGGCAGUGCAGCUCCAAGCGAAGGGUCUCUAGUGUCGAACAAUAGGCUGCGAAGACCUUUUGCUUUGUGAAUGGACACGGGAAAAGAGGUCUCCUCUGACAGCAUCAUGCUUAAAUGACGAACCCUUUCAAUUGAAGUCUCCACUGUUGCUUCUCCAAGUGUAUUGACAUCCACUGUUAGACAUUCAUUUUUUGUCAUAUAUUGGGCAAAAUCAUGCACUAUAUCAUGCAUCUUGAAUCUAAUAUGUUCUCGAUCAUACGUCUUAAAAUCUUGGAAGAAAGAGCGCGCUGCCAAGACUUGAAAGUAAUCCUCCCCAACAAGCUCCAUGUCUCUACUUGUAGUCUCCUUAAGGUAACCUUGAGCCAUCCACAUCUUCACCAAUUCAUCUUUUCAUCGUAGUCUUUUGGAAACAUGGCACAAUACAAGAAACAUCGUCUUACCACAGAAGGUAAAUCGUAGUAACUCAAAAGCAAAGGUAAAAUAGUCCCUCUUUCAACAUGUUCUAGCUCCCACAUUCGCUAGAUAAAACACGUUCCCACUCUUCUCUUGUUCUUUUAGACUGCAUUAGACCUCCUAAUACCUUGGCAGCUAGAGGCAAGCCCUUGCACUUGCUUGCAAUUUUAUCGCCGAUAUCUGUCAAUCUUUCGCGCUCAUCUUGCUUCUUUCCUGGAAUGCCACUGAUUGAAUAUUGACCUGCAUACCUCAUCAGACAAUUUCUCAAUGUUGAUCCGGUGGUCAGUUCCCAUCAUCGUUGCCACAGAAUGUUUACGAGUGGUCACUAGAAUUCUGCUUCCUCGUGCACAGCCUGUGAGAGAUGGUUUCAGUUGUUCCCAUUGUCCAUGAUUUUCUGUCCAGACAUCAUCAAGGACAAGAAGGAACCUCUUUCCCUUAAUGGAUUCAGAAACCCUUGCAAAAGGGAUUGCAAUUCAACCAAAUCGGCCCUCCCUUCAAGCUGCUCAAGGAUAGCUUUGGCUAUUCUAACCUCAUCAAAUGGUUCUGAAACACACACCCAUAUCUUUUUCUCAAAAUGAGCCGUAACCUCAGCAUCAUUAAAAGCUAGUUGGGCGAGAGUUGUUUUUCCAAUUCCGCCCAGCCCUACUAGAGAGAUGACAUCCACGUCCCGUGCUUCCUGACUACUUUCGCCAGCAACUUGCUUACAGCUUCCUUUUCACAUCUCGACCAUCACGCUUGAUUCAUCAACAAAGGAGGUACUUGUUAUUCGUUGGAGUUCAUCAGUGGCUUGUACAGAUCAAAGCCAUACAUAGCUCUCUCUUUGGCAAUCUCCACUUUUUCACAUACUUCUUUGAUCUUGAGGGCAAUGUCUCGACGUCGAACCACUUGAUUGAAACAAAAGCAAGGAGAUCUCAGGAAGGAACACCGUAUCUUCUGUCGGCUGUGAGUAUUUUCUUCAGAAUCCCCCAUUUUCCAUGUAAGAAUUGCAGAGCUCCAUUCAUCUAGCACGUCAUCCAUAUCAUAGCAUACAUCUUUGAGCUUGUCUACCCAAUCCCUUACAGCCUUAUCCUUCACUUGUUUUCUAUCUGCAUUUUCUCUAAAAUAAAAUGACUCGUAAAUAAUGUAAUGCUAAUGCCACUAUUAUUGUACUUAAAUUUACUAGAUGAGUGAAUUAAAAUAUAUUUUAUUUGAAUAUAGGAUUUCUUUAGAUAAAAGAAUUCAUAGAUAUUAUAAUAAUCAUAUAAUUAUGUAGCGCAAUACAUUGCAAUUUCACAAUAUUAUUAUGUGACUUUUAAUAGUUAUGCAUAGUCUAUUUUUAAAAAAAAUCUGUGAGGUUGAUCAAAAUAAAAAAGAAAUAUUAGAAUUUCUAUAAUCAUGUUUGUGAUCGAAUAUUUGACUAUAUUUAUUUUAAUCAUUUUAUCAUAAUAAUUUUAUUACAAAUAUAGUUAUUUAUGCAUUCAAAUAUGAUAAGGAAUUGUGAAAAAGGGAAUUUACUACUAUUUUACUAUAUUGAUUUGUUCUAACCAGCCAUCACAAUAACCAUAUUUUGUAUAGCACAAAAGAUAUAAAGAAAAAGAAAGAUAAUCGUAAGAACCCGCUAUCUAGUAAAAUAAUAUAUAUAUAUAUAUAUAUAUAUAUAUAUAUAUAUAAAUCAAGGUACUGAAUUAACUAAUUUUAACAGAUAUUCUAUAAGAUAAUGAAAUCAAUGUAUAAUGAACUAUAAAUGUAGAAAAGUAAUUAAGUACCUGUUGAUUAUAAAAGAAAGAAAGGAAACAAAAAAGAGUACCUGUAGAGUAACGAUCGUGGUUAACUGGUCCAAAAUCGGGGAUACAAGUGCGUCAGCCAUUGUUGUUCUUACUACUGAAUGUGUCAAGAAAAAGGAGAGAAAGUAAUGGGGCGUUGUUGACUGAUGAAAUGAGAAGUUGAUGAAGAUAGGAAGGAUAGUGAUCGACUGUGGAGUGCCAGAGAAAAUUAAUUUGAGGUUAUUUUCAAUGAAGUUUAGGCAAUAUAUACUGCAAAUUAAGAUAAUUUGCUUAAGACUGAUGCAAGGUUGAUGCAAGCAAAGAAUGAUUCUGAACUUCAGCAUAAAGCAGCUAAUUUCCUACAAGGUUGAUGCAAGCAAAGAAUGUCACUGAAACAACGAGAAAAUAUGCGUAAGAAGGAAAAGGAAAAGGCAAAGGUAAGUCUAGAACUAGCCAUUGCUUCACUUUGGGUUCAAGUAUAAUGCAUCAGUCAUCAGUCAUUUUCCUAUUUGUAUGUUUAUAUGGAAAUGACCUGUCGUUUUGAGUUCCAAAAGUGAAAGGCCCAUUUUUUUGCCUUAAUUUUAAAACAAAUAAAUAAUCAUUAACAUACCUAAAAAUAAAAUUUAAAAAUUAAAAGAUAAAUAUAGAUCAAGAUAUUUAAUUUUACAAGAUGAGACAUUUAUCUAUUUGCUAAAUUUUUUUAUUAAUUUUUUUUAAUUUAAUCAAACAAUAAUAAAAAUAAACAAAUAUAUUAAAUUGAUUGAAUAAAAUAAAAAGAAAACAGGAAUAAUAUGCAAGGCUACACAUAUUAGAAAUAUCAUCUAAAAAAAUUGAUUGAAUAAAAUAAAAAGAAAACAGGAAUAAUAUGUAAGGCUACACAUAUUAGAAAUAUCAUCUAAAAAUAAAUAUUUUUUAUUUUUAAAAAUACAGUUCAUCUAUACAAAAGACAAAAAAAAUUAUAAAUAAAUCAGAAAAAUCUCUUUAAAAAUUAAACAUAUAACAAAAAAAUCAAUAUUAUUUAAAAGAUACUGUCUGAACAAAAUUCUACUGUGGAGCGCAAGAGAAAAUUAAUUUGAGGUUGUUCUCAAUGAAGUUUAGGCAUUGAGAACAAAGAUCAAAUUGGAUGUUUUGCACUUUGGAGUUUGGAUAAUGAUAUUGUAAUGUUUUGAAUUAAUGAGAUAGGAAAAGCCUAGAAACCCCUUGAAGGCUUAGAUGUAGGAAUAAAUUAAAUGAGGGGUAUAGUAGUAAUUGGAUAAAUAGUUGAUAAAUAUAAAUAGGAAGUAAAAAAAUAAAAUAAAUAUAGAAAUCUGAUUUUGAGAGGAAGAGAAUCGGCAGAAGUGAGAAAGGAAAGAAGAAGAAGAGAAAAGAGGGGAAAAUAAGGGGAAAAAGGAAGAGAAUUGGAGGAAAUAAGUGAAAAAGGUAAGAUUUAGGUUGUUUAAUGUGUAUAAUAUGUUAAUUAAGUUUUAAUUUCAGUUUUAUGAAUGUUAGGGUUUUGAGAAUUUGUGUUCGAUUUAAAUGAUGAAUUAAAUUGAAGGUUAGGGGUGAUUGUUGUUGUUUAAUUGAUGAUUUAGUUGAUUAUGGAAGAUUAUGAUGAUUUGAGUUAUAGAAUUGUGUAAAUGGUGAAAAUUGAGUUAGAAAUCAGGGAGAACAGUGGGGUUUCUGUUAAAAUCUGGACUGGAGGUUGAAGAUGACGAAAAAUUCAAUUUGGUCCCUCAAUUCAGAAAAUUACAGUUAGUCCCCGAACUUUGGAAAAUUACAAAUUGGUCCCUGGAGCAUAUUCCGAGAUUCUGAACAGAAUAACAUAUGAAUUAUGGACAUAAUUACUGUAUAGAUAAGAGAAUUUAACACUUUCAAUUUAGUCCUCCAAUUUGACAAAAAGUACAAUUUGACCCUAAAAAUUUAGUAAAAUUCCAGAAUGAUCCCUGAAGCAUAAUGAUACAUCCUGGACAGAAUUGAGGAUUAAUUAAGGUCAGAAUUUCAGUAUAUUCAUGGAUUUAUGACAAAUUUCAGUUUGGUCCUCCAAUUAGACAAAAGUUACAAUUUGGCCCUAAAAAUAUGAUAAGUUCCAGAUUAGUCCCUAGCUGUAAUAUUAGCUUUUGCAGAUUAGUUUGAUGAAUAAUUAAGGGUUAUUUAGUGAAUUAUUACCAAUUUUAUUAGUUGUUUUUAUUAUGGAUUAGAUUUCGGGAAAACCGUUAGAUUUUGGGUUUUUAAGAAAAUUGACUAGUUAGUUCAAAAACAUAUAGGGUUACGGAAUACACCCUUAGUUAAGUGUAUUAAAUAUUAAAUGUUCUUUCGAGUCGUUUUUGAAUAUGUCUCCUUUGUAUUCAGAUAAUCCUGAUAUUCUACCGGCAGGACGUCAGUAGAAUUUCCUUCGGUUUCAGCUUGUGUGUGUUGUUUGCUUUUGAGUCAGGUGAGUGGAUAAUUUUCCAUAUGCAUGAGAAAUAUUAUAAAUAUUUGAUUUGUUAAUAUGAAUUGGAUCAUGCUUCUUGAUAAUAUAUAUGCUGAUUAUUAUCCUUGAUAUGAUAAAGCAUGAUCAAUUAUUGAAUCUGAUUUCUUGAUAUGAACCAAUAUGAUUUGACUUCUGAAUUGAUAGCUCCUCAUUUGAUGGAUGUCAUGAGUUGAGCUUUGAGAUAUGAAUAUGUUUGUUUGAUUAUGAUUAUGAACCUAUGGUAUGUCAGUCAGAAUACCCAUGCUAACAGGGUAGUGUUAGUCUUUGUGCACAUCGUAUCUGAACCCUAGUUGGUCGGGGGAGUCACCAACCUGUGUGGACUGAUCAUCCCACAGUACGGAGCCUCAUGCUCAUUGCAUUUUGAUUUUCUGACGAGUUUUACCAUAUGAUAUUCUUGUUAUGGCCUAUUUGAUAAACCUUCGUAUAAGAACUAAAGCCAUACUUGUAUAUAUAUUUCUCAUUGUUAUAUUACCUCGUAUGUGUAUAUUGAAUGUUAUCUACUCACUGAGUUGUUGAACUCACCCUCUCAUUAUUUAUUCUUUUCAGGCUUAUAGCUUGAUAGCGGGUUACUUUUGUUGAACCUUCCGAACCUGCUUUUGGUUGUAAUUUGUAUCUUUCUUUUUAUGUCAAGUUAGUGCUCCAAAACUAUGAAAAAUUAUUAACUCUUGUAUUAAGACAAUUACAUUAUAUUAUGAAGUUGUUUGUUGUUAAUUAUGCGUUAAACUCUGAUUGAGUUGUUUAAAGGAUUGUAUGUAAGUUUGGGUUCGCAUAGGUUUGGAACCUUGGAGGGGAACCUUGCCUAUGUGCCGGUCAUGGAUCCGGGAUUCGGGUCAUGACAGAUAUUAAUCUUUGUUGUUUGGGGAUUAAGAAUUUGGUGAUAAAUUUCUUGUUGUGAAAUAGUUAUGGUAAAAUAUAAGAUAAAUCCUAGUGAACACGUCUUCCCAAAAUACACUGCGUGUACUGGACUCUCAAUGUUCAUUUUUGCCUCAUUUUGCCUUAAUUAAUUUUAACUGCAAAACAACUAGCUCAGUACCGCACCAGCAAACGAGAAUGGAAAAGCUCACCAAGAUGCCCUCAAAUUAAUGGAGUCAAUGGAGAAAAAAACUGGAGCUGCUGGAGGCCAGACGGCACAUGGUGGAAUAGUUCAUGCCCUGGCAUGCGUCAUCACUGUUCCACCAUGUGCCGUCGCGACCUCCAUUGAACAACAAUGAAAAACAUAUACGAAUUUAGCUUCAUGUCUUUAUAAGAGAAUUUCAUAAACAUACCAUAACAAAAAAUAUCAUAAAAUAAAUCUCUUAAAAAAUAAAAAUACAAUAAACAUGUAGGUUCAUAUUAUAAGAUAAUCAGUUUAUAUAAAUUGUUGACACCCCCAAUCAAUUAAGGAUCAAAUACGAUAUAUAUAAAUAUUAACAAUUAACAAGAUCUUAUUAGCAUGAAUAUUCUAACUAUUAUAUCAUAGGGUUAUAAUCAAACGAACAAAAUCAUUUUCUAAAAGCUCAACUCAUAUAAUUAAUUAAAUAAAAAACUAUCAAUUUAAAAAUACAUAAUUGCUCAAAUCAAGAAAUCUAUCUCAAUAAAUAAUAAUGUUUUAUAGAACAACAGAUAAUAAAUAUUAUAUAAAUUACUAAGAAGUACUAUCAAUUUAAUAUUAAUAAUUUGACUAUUUAUACUACUCCUCUGCAGCAUAUGAGAUAGUAAGUGAUAGAAUGGUCCCCAUGUUAUGGUUUAUAUUUUGCUUUAAACAGAGUAUAGUUGUACUAAAAAUACACCCCUUUCCCGAAAGGAAGGGGAAGAACACAAUCAAGGGAUUUCUUGUUGUUUGACUUCUCAUGUUUCUCUCCCACCACGGGCAACUGUUUAUUUUCGCCAAGGUGAAUUGAGGCUUCAAGUAGAAGAAAUUAUUUACUGGUUAGAAACUUGGUCGAUUUCACUGUUGUCUUUGAGACAAAUGAAACUGAGGUUUUUGGUUUGCAAUUUGGGCAGAUAAGGAUAAUCCUUAUUGUUUGGUGUUUGAGAAUUUGGUGCUAAAUUUCUUGUUGUAAAUUGCAGAAAAUAGUCAGGGUAAAAAUUUAAGAUGAAUGCUAGGGUACACAUCUUCCCAAAAUGCACUGGGUUCUGGAUUCUCAAUGUUCAUCUUGCAGUUUGACAAGAGAAUCUUUCCUUCACUUACACUAUCUUUUUGUUUGUUUGGCCGAUGCAUGAUUUUUUUACCUCAUUUUUCCUUGAUAAAUUCUAACUACAAAACAGCUACUUCACCAACAAGAUGGAAAAGGCUCACCAAGAUGUUCUCUUUGAAAAGAUUCUCAGUGAGUCGUUGACAUCUCAUUUUUGGAAUUUCUCCAAUAGCUUGAUGUCUACUCUCACUAUAUUGAGUAGGAUGACUAUAGAAUUACUCUGAUUUAUCAACACAUAUCAAAUUCUUGCUGCUGCUGAGGAAGAUAUCUGCACUUAGCCAUCAUAGAGGGUAGCGAAUUUUGUGUUGAUGGAAAUUACACUGACUCAUUGUGUACCAUCUAGAAUUCAAUUUUAAAAAAAAUUGCAAGAAAUGUUGUUUUUUCCUAAAUACAUCAAUCGGGUGUGGAUAGCUUGAUUAAAAUGCGACUUACUAAAAAGUCUUGGUCUUAAUAUGCAAAGAUGAUCCAAGUAUACCAUAUUUCUUUUAAAAUAAAACCCACAGAUCUAGUCCACGCAAAGGUACUGGAAUAUGGAUUUGUAAAAAUAAAAAUGAAAAUUUAUACGAAAUUGAAUUGUGCUAAAAAAACCCACAGAUCUAGUCCAUGAUCUACGGCUCCUCCAGAGUUCCGUAGUGGUGUCUUUCUCAACUAUUCUUUAAAUAAAAUGUGUGGGAUGUGAGAAAUCUUGUGCCUAUCUUCACCCCUCUCCUCCUUCCCGUAACGUUUCCUUAGAGAAUUUAUGUAGAGGCGCUGUCAAAACAUAGUCCGGUAGUGCUCUCAACAAUGGGCAUUUGAGAAUUCUAAACUCAACAAGUUGUGGCAUGAUGAAUAUUGAAGUCGUGGUGGAAUCUUCUUCUCCCACUCUCCUUUCAAUCCCAUCCCACUCCUCUAGUUCUUUGAGAUGCCAUAUGCUAAGUCUUUUCAAUUUGGGGAAAGCAGCGACUCUUGCAAUUUCUCCUUCAUUAAUAUUGGUAUUGCCACCAUUUUCUAUGCCUAAAAAUCCACCAUCCAACCUUCUCAGCUUCAUGCUCAUCCAUCUGAAAAUCUUGGAAGAAAGAACGUGCUACUAAGACUUGAAAAUACUCCUCUCCAACAAGCUCCAUACCUCUACUUGGAGUCUCCUUAAGAUAACCUUGAGCCAUCCACAUCUUCACCAACUGGUCUUUUUCCAUCUCGUAGUCUUUUGGAAACACCGUCUUGCCACAGAAGGUAAAUCGUAGUAACUCAAAAGCGGAGGUGGAAAUAGUGCUAUUUCAACAUGUUCUAGCUCCCACAGUUCGCUAGAUAAAACAUGUUCCCACUCUUCUCUUGUUCUUUUACACUGCACUAGACCUCCUAAUACCUUGGCAGCUAGAGACAAGCCCUUGAACUUGCUUGCAAGGAGAUCCCAGGAAGGAACAUCGUAUCUGCUGUAGGCUGUGAGUAUUUUCUUCAGCAUCCCUCAUUUUUCAUGUAAGAAUUGCAGAGCUCCAUUCAUCUAGCACAUCAUCGAUAUCAUAGCAUACAUCUUUGAGCUUGUCUAGCCAAUCUCUUGCAACCUUAUCCUUCACUUGCUUUCUAUCUGCAUCUUCAAGGACAGAUUGGAUAGCAAGGAGAUUGCUUUUCAGCUUGUCGACACACCCCCUACUAGGUUCACCUCUUCCUGUACCUAUUGGUGCAGAAAAGAUAAGAAAGUUGAAGCAGAGGAAACAUUUCUAUGAUUUCUUUAAACAGUAUCUCACAUAAUUUAAUCUCCUGAACUACUAACUAAAGUGUUGAGAGCCAAUUUAAGUUCUCAAGGCUGAAGACCCCAACUAGACUACUGUUACCUAGAAUUCAUUUUACCUACAAUACUCAGUAUGUGUGGCAGAAAAUCGCAAUACCUAAAUGGCUGAAUUUACAAGUAUAUCAAUCAAUUAUGUAAUGAACCGGGUGCAAGUGCAUGGCGCAAGUAUAUUAAACCUACUGAAUUUUUCUUCUACUUUUUAUAUACCAAACCUUGUAAAAAACACCACUGCUCAAAUUCAAAAAUAAAAAGUGGAGGAAAUUUUAAAGUGAUGUACCCCUCUUUGAGUGUCAAGAUAGCGGUGUGUACAGCAUCAUCAAGCUCCAUAUCAUCAGUGUAUCUACAGAGCACAUAUUAAGUUAGGGAAAACAAAAGUUGUUCAAAUCAAAUGAAGAUAUGUGGACAAAAAACAAAAAUAUUUACCAUGUUUCUGUCCAUUCAAUUCUUUUUUUCUCACUUUCUUUUUCUUUUUUCAAAAAAAAGAAAGGCAAUCCAAUUCUUCUUGGAUGGGGUGUAGCUCAAAGUAAGCUGGCAGUUGAAAAUUGAAGGUGGCUUGAUCUUUGAAUGAAGAAUAUGUUUGGCAGUUGAUGGCUGGAGGUGGAAACACAUUUGUUGCUAGCUAGGAGAACCCAUGAAGAUGUUUAGAAGUUUUUGCAGAAUCAAUGCAUUUCAUGGUACCAAAAACAAAUAAAUACCUCUUCUCAAGAAAUGUUUUUGCAUUUGAAACAUUUUUCCCCAUUGCUGAGGCUUUCCAUGAGAAGUAGGAACCUGAUGGAUCGACCUAGCCAAACAAAUACAAAACAUAACAUCAUCGAAAAUGACAAGAAAAUGAGAAAAAAAGAAGAAGAGAGAGAGCUUAAAUUGCAACAACAUUUGAUUCCGAGAGAAGUUUGGCCUGAUCCAACGGCAGUCAAUGCGUGCUCAAUCUGUACUGGCUUUCCGGUAGGACUGAAAGUAGUGAGAGAAAAGGAGUACUGGCUAUCACCCAUGGUUUAUUGCUUGAAGACGCAGAGAGGAAAAACUGAGAAUGCGAGCGUGUGGGAGAGAAAGGCAGGGAUAUUUACUUGGGGUUUUAACUUUGCUUUUCUCGUUGGAGAAGAAGGUGUUUUCUUACGAGGGCUUUUACAAUGGAGUAUAUUGGGCUUUUAUGACGGCAGGUUAGUCCUCUUUACAUUGAGCUCAGUGAAGGCUCGGAACCAGUUUUGUUUUUAAGAAUUAUUAACAAAUUUUAUUUAUUUAUUAAUAUACAUAAUUUUAAUUUAUUUAAUUACAUUUAUAUAUAAAAUUUUUAAUUUAUUAUAUUUUUUUGAACUAGAAAAAUAUAUUUAAAGAACUGCAUGUAUAAAUGUUUAUAAAAAAUAAAAAUAUUUGACUCACAAUAAAUCAUCCAUACUCUUAUAAAAAAGAUGAGUUGCUGCUGAAUUUUGUUGUUGAUUUGUAAUUUAAUUAUUGUUGAAGAUUUUCUGUGUUAGGUUUGGAUAACUUUAUUUGGAUUUAAUCCACUGAAACUGAGGUUUAAGAAUUUCUUGGAUUUAAUCCACUGAAACAGUUGCUUGAUCAAGAUCAUUGGCUUGUUUGUAGGCAGAUAAAGGCAUAAAAAAAAAAACAAAUAUCAUCUUAGAUUAAUUAUAGAUAUGAGUUACAGUAGUUGAAAUUUGAAAGGCAAUUUUUUUAGCGUGGCAUUUGGAGAAUUUAAGUAAGGAAUAAGCUUCACGUGAGCGAGUUAAUAUCACAGCUGCAUUUGAUAGAUUAAAUGAUAAGUAGGAAAUAAAAUCGAAUUACAGUAAAGUUUGAAUGAAAUCCUCCAUGUAAGUAAAGAGGUCACAUAGAGUAAAUAGUAAGGCUUACAUAUUAUUUACAUUCAACCUUAGCAAACACCAAAGCAAAUAAUUAAUACACUCAGAACCAAAUCUUUUACCGUAGAAGAAUUUACUUGUUCCUGCCGGUCCAACAGACUUCCGUACGUUGUGGUGUCCCAUAGAUAUGAUCACUAAAACGAAUGUUUGGGAUGUGAGAAAUCUUUUGCCAAUCUUCACCCAUCUCCUCCUUCCCGUAACGUUUCCUUAGAUUGGGGCACCUUUGUAUGUAUAAUUCCUGUAUAGGCGCUGCCAAAACAUAGUCUGGUAGUGCUCUCAACAACGGGCAAUGACGAAUUCUCAACUCUCGAAGUUGUGGCAUAAUGGAUAUUAUUGAAGUUGUGUUGGCAUCUUCUUCUCCCACUGAUCUCCUUUCAAUUCCAUCCCACUCUUCUACAUCUCCGAGAAAAAAAAACGUAAGUGUUUUUAAUUUGGGGAAAGCAGUGAUCCUUGCAAUUUCUCCUUCAUUAAUACUGGCAUUCUCAUCUUUUUCUAUACCUAAAAAUCCAGCAUCCAACCUUCUCACCUUCAUCAAAAUCAAAUCCAGGCUUUCAAGGUGGGGCAAUCUUCCCAACGGAGGCAAGACCUCCAGCUUUGUACAAUUAUCCAGUCUAAGCGCCUGUAAUCUGGUUAAUGUCAUCAUCCAAUUUGGCAAAUCCAACCCUCCGUACCCAUAUAUGCUUAGAUUUUCCAAGUCUGGCGGAGGCUGUAAAGCUUCAAUUAAAAUGCCGUUAUCCUGGUUGUGGUUGAAAUACAAUUCCAAACGAAGCAGGCGCUUCUUAUUCUUGAGUUGUGCUUCUGCAGCGUCACUCGCAUCUUCUUUACCUCCUCCUAGCUUCCGUAUCUCAAGACUCCCUCCAAUGUGAUUUAAGUCUUUUAAAUCUCUUAGAUUAGCUGCUUUACUUUCAUUCUCACCACCACCACACACACUAAACACAUCUAAUGUUUGAAGACAUGUUACCCUCUCUAUUCCCUUUGGUAUGAAGGCCACUCUUGAACCAUAAAUCCGGAGAUGCCUCAAUUUGAUAAGUUUUCCAAUCGCCUUGGGCAAUUCCUUGAGAGACCAACACCAAAUAACGUCUAGGGAUUGUAGAUUGCAUAAAUCACACAUGGUUUCUGGCAGGGACUCCAACUCUCCACAGGCUACCAAAUUGAGGUGUCUCAAAUGUAUCAAUUUCCCUAACUCCUUUGGUAUUUCUUUGAUUGAAGACCUUGACAAAUUCAAUGACCUGAUGCAUGUCAACUGUUUGAACAAAUCAGGCAGUGCAGCUCCAAGCGAAGGGUCUCUAGUGUCGAUCAAGAGGCUGCGAAGACCUUUUGCUUUGUGAAUGGACACGGGAAAAGAGGUCUCGUUGGGCAGCAUCAUGCUUAAAUGACGAACCCUUUCAAUUGAAGUCUCCAUUGUUGCUUCUCCAAGUUUACUGGCAUCCACUGUUAGACAUUCAUUUUUUGUCAUAUAUUGGGCAAAAUCAUGCACUAUAUCAUGCAUCUUGAAUCUAAUAUCUUCUCGACCAUACGUCUUAAAAUCUUGGAAGAAAGAGCGCGCUGCUAAGACUUGAAAGUACUGCUCUCCAAUAGCCUCCAUAUCUCCACCUGAAGUCUCCUUGAGGUAACCUUGAGCUAUCCACAUCUUCACCAAAUCAUAUUUGCGCAUCUCGUAGUCUUUUGGAAACAUGGCACAAUACAAGAAACAUCGUCUUACCACAGAAGGUAAAUCGUAGUAACUCAAAAGCAAAGAUAGAAAUAUUCCUCUUUCAACCUGAUCUCUAUCAACCUCAUCUAGCCCCCACAGUUCGCUAUAUAAAACACGCUCCCACUCUUCUCUUGUUCUUUUAAACUGCAUUAGACCUCCUAAUACCUUGGCAGCUAGCGGCAAGCCCUUGCACUUGUUAGCAAUUUUAUCACCGAUAUCUGUCAAUCUUUCACGCUCAUCUUUGCUUCUUUCCUGGAAUGCCACAUGAUUGAAUAUUGACAUGCAUAUCUCAUCAGACAAUUUCUCAACAUUGAUCUGGUGGUCAGUUCCCAUAAUCGUUGCCACAGUGCCCUUACGAGUGGUCACUAGAAUUCUGCUUCCUCGUGCACAGCCUGUGAAAGAUGGUUUCAGUUGUUCCCAUUGCCUAUGAUUGUCUGUCCAUACAUCAUCAAGGACAAGAAGCAACCUCUUUCCCUUAAUGGAUUCAGAAACCAUUUGCAAAAGGGAUUGCAAUUCAAUCAAAUUCGGUUCACUCCCUUGAAGCUGCUCAAGGAUAGCUUUUGCUAUUCUAACCUCAUCAAAUGGUUCUGAAACACAUACCCAUAUCUUUUUCUCAAAAUGAGCCGUUACCUCAGCAUCCUUAAAAGCUAGUUGGGCGAGAGUUGUUUUUCCAAUUCCGCCCAGCCCUACUAGAGUGAUGACAUCAACGUCCCGUGCUUCCUGACUACUUUCACCCACCAACUUGCUUACAAUAGUUUUCUUUUCAACAUCUCGACCAAUCACGCUUGAUUCAUCAACAAAGGAGGUACUUGUUAGUCGUUGUAGUUCAUCAGUGGCUCUGUACAGAUCAAAGCCAUACAUAACUCUCUCUUUGGCAAUGUCAUCCACUUUUUCACAUACUUCUUUGAUCUUAAAGGCAAUGUCGCGACGUCGAACCACUUGAUUGAGACAAAAGCGAGGAGAUCUCAGGAAGGAACAUCGUAUCUUCUGUAGGCUGCGAGUAUUUUCUUCAGCUUCCUCCAUUUUCCAUCUAAGAAUUGCAGUGCUCCAUUCAUCUAGCACGUCAUCCAUAUCAUAACAUGCAUCUUUGAGCUUGUCUACCCAAUCUCUUACAGCCUUAUCCUUCACUUGUUUUCUAUCUGCAUCUUCAAGGACAGAUUGGAUAGCAAGGAGAUUGCUUUUCAGCUUGUCACAUUGUUUCUUCACACCCACUACUAGGUUCACCUCUUCUUGUACCUAUUAGUGUACAAAGGAAAAGAAACGCUAAGCAUGGGAAACAUUUCUGUGAUUUCAAGACAAUUUCACACCCCCUACUAGGUUUACCUCUUCCAAUACCUAUUAUUGUAGAACAGACAAGGAAGUUCAAGCAUAGGAAACAUUUCUAUUUUGUAUUAAUAUAUUUUAUUGUGAAAUGGAUUUACUAUAUUAAUAUUUUAUAUAUAAUUAAUAUAGGCAUGAAAAGAGUUCAAUAUUCUCACGAGAGAAGUAAUAUUUCUCCUUUGAACCGACAUAAAAUCUGGUUUUCAUUUUACAUUAAACUAUAGAUAUAUGGAUGUAUAAAGGCAAGUGAAUAAAAGGAUCUGCAUGUAUAUAUUUGUGAAGUCAAUUUAGAAAUAAAGGCAUGAUAAUAAGAUUGUGUGAUAACUAUAUAGUUUUAAUUCACACCAAAUACUCACUCGCUAAUCCUUUGAACUUUUUAUUGAUUAUUUUACCUUUAAUAGUUCAGUUUAAAGAGAAUUGGCAACUCUUGUUUUGUCUUUUUUGGUUUUCUUAUAUUUGGAAUGAUAUAUUUUCUUUAUGUUAUUUUUAGAAAUAUAAAAAAUAAUAAAACUAGAAAAAGAAGUCUUUAAUAAAAUCGAAAUAUAUACUUGAGGAUUUAAAAUAUUAUUUUUAUUUUUUCAAGUUAAAAGUAUUCAUUUUAUGAGAGGAAGAUAAAAGGCUUGAACUUUAUAUAUAUUUCUUAUCUUUGCCAGGUAAAUCAGGUUAUUGCAGAUGGCAGAAAAAUACCUGUUGAGCAACGAUCGUGGUUAAGUGCUCCAAGAUCGGAGAUAGAAGUGCCUCAGCCAUCGUCUGUUUAGUUCUGAUUGGAGAGAGAGAAGCAGUGAUGAUAGGAAGACAGAGAGAAAGAGAGGGUGAAGGGAAGGAGGCGGCUGAUUGUGAAUGGAAGUUAGUUUAUAUACUUAGGGUUUGGCGUUGCAGGUGAAGCUUUUGUAUUUUAGUGUCUCCACAUUUUCUUAUUAGUAUUUGUAGGGACAGGGUAAAGGGAGAUCAGCGCACCUUGUAAUUUUAGCUGGCAGUAAACCUGAAGCAUAGUUUUAAAACCCGGACCGGCCCGGCGGGUCGAUCUGGGACCGGUUCGGGUGAAGGCCAAAACCCGUUUGGAAAUUGACCCGGCUAGACCGGGGACCUGGUUGACCCGGCAAGACCCGGUCUCAAACCCGUUGACUUUUAUUUUUUUUUGUUUUUUUUUUUUUGCUAAAACGACGUCGUUUUGAUUUUUUUUAAAAAAAAUAAAAAAUAAAUUUUGACCCGGCCGACCCGGUCAAGACCCGAUGACCAGGUCAAAACCAGGAACCCGGGCCUUGGACCGGGCCGACCACCGAGCCGGAUCUUAAAACUAUAACCAGAAGUAAUGAGAAAAUAAUUUUAGCCAGCCGGCCCAAUCUAUUUUAGGCUAAUAGUGUGUUAGGCAAAACACAUAUAAGCCUUAUCCCUUUAUUUUAUUAUUUUUUAUUUUAAUAUUUAGCUAAAUAAUUUUUUUUGAAAAUCAAAAAUCAUUAUGAAUGUUUUUGAAUUUAUUUAUGGGUUUCUUUUUUUAUUAUUAUUCAUUGUAUAUUUGUAUAUUUGAUUUUGUGGAUUUUUAUGGUGGAAUGUAAAUAUAGUAUACGAUACAUUUGUUUCUCUUAAAAAAAUAUGUAUGUUUUAAUUUAAAUUCAUUUUAUUCAUUAAUCUAACAACUAUGUAAGUUUCUAGUGACCUUAAGAUUUGUGAGACUGGAACUAGUAAUUUGAGGUUCAACAUCCCAGGUCGAGAAUUAGGUCUUAAUAUGGAAGGGUUAAUCUAGGUUAACCUAAUUUUUUUAAUAAAAAAAUUAAAAUAAUAUCGUUUUGACCGAAUUUUUUUUUUCCAAAAACAAAACUACCAAUAUUUAAACAAGUUUUACUUGAGUCUAUCGGGAUAUUUUAACCAGGUCAAACCAUAUUAAUUCUUUUCUUUAUUAUAUUUUUUUGAAGUUCUUACCUUUAUUACCAAAAAAAUCCCCUUAAUUUCAGAGUCCUUACAUCUCUAAUUAAUUAUAAUUACCUUACCAGUCAUAAUGUUCUUUUCUGUACCUGAUGAAUGAUAUUAUUUCUGAGAUUUUUGAACAUGUAAUGACGGAAGCCUGCGCUGGGCUGGUUCCCUUUGUUACGUUGCUGGAGUCGCAAUGUUUCGAGGUAUCAGACCAAAUUAAUUCUCUUGCUUUUUGCAGCAAAGCUGUAUCUCUUGCUACUUGCUAGAAGCGUAAUCUCAGGAUACCACUGUUUUGGUGUUGCCUCUCUCACCAUUGUUAUUAGGUUGAAUUAAAUACCAGAAGAUUUCUGAGUAUGCAAUGACUGUAUGAUUUAACUAACCAAUACACUAUCAAGGGUGUGGCGUAUGAACUUCAUGCGCCGGCGUGUGUCACCACCGUUCCACCGUGUGCCGUUGCGGCCUCCCCAUUGAAGGUCCAAUUUUCAAGCUCACAAGCAUGACAUCUUUAAACCUUACUUGAGGUUCAACAUCCUAGGUCAAGAAUUAAGUCUAGCAUGAAAGGUUAAUCCAAGUUAAUUUAAUUUUUUUUUAAAAAAAAAAUUAAAAUAACAUAGUUUUGAUUGAUAUUGAUUUUUUCAAAAAAAAAAAAUCCAACAAUAAUUAUAUUUUAACCAGGUCAAUUCAUAUUAAUUCUUUUCUUUAUUAUAUUUUUUGAAGUUCUUACCUUAAUUACCAAAAAAUAUCCACUUAAUUUUGAGAUAUAUUCAAUUUGGUUUUGUAAACAGUACCUUAACAUAUUUUGAUUGAAAUUGAUUUUUUUUUUAAAAAAACCCAACAAUAUUUAAAUAAGUUUUACUCGGGUCUACCAAGAUGUUUUAACCAGGUCAAGGCAUAUUAAUUCAUUUUUUAAAUUAAGUUCUUACCUUAAUUACCAAAAAAAAAAUCAGCUUAAUUUUGAGAUAAAUUAAAUUUGGUCCUAUAAACAGUACAUUUUAUUUAGUUGAUCCAUCGAAUAUCUGGUGCUAUUCAAUUCAAUUUAACCAAACUUUUAUUUGGUUGAGAAGAAUUUGACAAUCAGAAUCCUGUAAUAUUGAUGAUGGCUCUUGAACUGGAAACCAUGUUUAUAUCGCAGAUAUAUUCUUGGACACCAUUCAUAUAAAGGUGAACAAUUAAGCACUCUCAAAAACCAAAUCAUAGGGAAGAGCUCAUCAACUCGAGCGCCACCAGAGAUUUACAUUUGCAUGUGAGUUGGGAUGCAAGAAUCAAUGAUUCUUAUGAGGCUGAUCACACAAUUCUAUGUGAAUUUGGGUGCGCAAUACUUUUAAGGAGAGAACUCAUCCUAGUCCAAGCACAUUAAACUUCGGAAUUCUUAUGGCAUAAGGUGUACGAUACUAAAUACACAAGUCCUAGUUAAUAUCCUCUACCAUGCAAUGCAGUGGUUCAGUCGCACCAUUUCAAAUUGUUAUUAUGUCUAUAAUCUAUGUUCAGGUACUGCAAUCUAUCUUGAAUUCAUGGUCUUCACUUAAUAACAAGUUUGGUCUGGAGAAUCCUUUAACUUGAAAGGGGACUUGUCUUUUACUUGUAGAAAUGCCAACAUUAAAUUGUUAAUAUUAAAUUUUUUUCUAUUUAGUUAUUAAACUUUCAUGACACGGAUUCCGGGUUUGACAGGUUAACCUGGUUUGACGAGUUAACCCAGUUAAUUCUGGGCUAACCCAUUAAUUUGUUUUUUCCUUUUUAAUUAUCAAACUUUCACGAUGUGAAUUCAAGGUAUGAUGGGUUAAUCUGGUUUGAAAGGUUAACCCAAUUAAUUCAUAUUUUUUUUCUUUUUUUUCAUUAGUUUUUUUUUUCUGUUGGUUUUUUUCUUUGUUUUUUUCUUUUUAACUAAUCUAUUUAAUUAUCACACUUUUAUGACACGACCUUGCAGCCAGAUCUACGUCCAAUGCUAUUGGGUAUAGUAUUGUAGUGCAUACACUUUUAUGCUAAGAGUUAACCCAAGUUUAAUGUUAUUAUUAAUAUUAUAAAUAUUACUCUUGGAUCAGGCGUUGCAACUAAAUCUAAAAUUCUUGGAUAUAACUUUGUAAAAAAACCUAAUAUUUUUAGAUCUUGGCUUUUUUUUAAAUGUAAAAAAUAAUUAACCUAUGGCAUCGCGCGGGGCAUGUAACUAGUAAUUUCUAAAAGGAAACUCAUCCUAAACUUCGGAAUUCUUAUGAAUUAAGUGUACCAGGCUAAAUAUCCUCUACCAUGUAAAGUAGUGAUUCGGUCGCUCCAUUUCAAAGUAUUUUUAUGUCUAGAAUUUAUAUGUUUUGGUAACUUUUUUUUUUUUCUGGGUGUUCAUGGUCUUCACUUAAUAAAAGGUUUGGUCUGGAGAGUCCUUGAACUUAAAAGGGGCUGUGAUGGCAUUUGGAAGGCACACGUACUGGGGGACUUGUCUUUUACUUGCAGAGAUCAUAUCCAUUGGUGAACAUUUUUCGCGUUAGGUUUGGAUAACUUUAUUAUGAUUUAAUCCACUAAAUCAAUGUGUAUCAUGUUUAAAAAAGAAAAAAGAAAAAACAGAGAGAGAGAGACGAUGUGAGAAUAAAUGGGAAGUAGGAAAUAAAAUCCAAGUCAACAAUAGAUUACAAAUGAUUACAAUCCAAUUACGGUAAGGAGGUGUAUGAAACAAACGGUGCUUAAUACAACACUGAAUGAAAUCCUCCAUUUGAUUAUACCAGAAUGCCCUUCGAUUUGAUUCCAAAAAUAUGAAGGGAAAAUCUUCAAAUGCACAAAGUAAAUCGGAACCCACAGUGAAGUAGCUCUUCAGUAUCUUCUAAGCCCAAGCUGUCAAACACAGACCAAAAGCAAACGUGUCAUAACCAAAAUAACCCAAUGAAUGGUAGAUGUUAAAAUGAGCAUUCCAUUUUCUGAAUGAAAAAAAUCCCAGUGACCUAGCUAUGACUUACAUAAUUAAUUAAAAUGGAUUUGUUAAAAUAUAGUAAAAUAUUAUACCGUUAAGAAUUAACACUGGUAGAAGAAUUUGUUGGGCGGAAUCCAGCGAUCGGUGAUGAACUGAUUAUUACUUAACGGAGGGGCAAGCACACUGACAACAAUAUUUUACGUGGUUCGGCAAAAUCACCUACAUCCACGGGAGAGAGUCCAUUUAUUAGAGAUUAGAAAAAGGAUAUAAUAAAUAUAUAGAGGAGGAUCUAAUCACUCAACUCCCAUCUCUCUUGCUGUCCUUGCAGCUGCUGCAAUGGCUGCUGCCAUUGCAGCUCUCUUUUUCUCUCUAUCCUCUUACGUUUCUCACACACUCCUCACCAGAUUUAGCUCUCUUUGCAUGCUUCUUUUAUAGGCAAUGAAUGGUCAUCAUGGAGGGGCCAACAUGCCACCAUUAGUGGCACUAAUGGAGCAACCACUUGCUUGGUGGUGGUGGCCACUUGCUUGGUGGUGGGGGUAUUGCCAAUAAAUGGCAAUAUCCUAACAGAAUUUACAUGCUCCGUCCGGUUCUAAUUAAAGAGUUCUGUCUUUCUCACCUAUAAUAAUAUAUCAUGAAAAUAAAUGUUUGGGAUGUGAGAAAUCUUUUGUCAACCUUCACCCAUCUCCUCAUUCCCGUAACUUUUCCUUCGAAUGCGGCAACCACUUAUGUAUAAUUCCUGUGGAAGGGCUGCCAAAACAUAAAAGCUGUCCCGUUUAUGUUGGAUUAUGCAAACAUGGAGGUAUCUAUAUUGAUUCUGAUAUCACAGUCUGAAUUUAUUGUCUUCCGUUAGUAAAUCUAUUGGUCUGAAGAAUCCUCUGUCUGGAAGUUCUUUGAAUGGGGCUGUGAUGGCAUUUAGAAAGCACAGGCACCAGGGGGCUUGCCUUUCACUAGCAGAAAUCAUAUUUAUUGUUGAAGAUUUUUUGUGUUGGGUUUUGAUAACUUUAUUUGCAUUUAAUCCACAAAAUCGAUGGGUAUCAUCUCUUUUAGAUGAAUGGUUUAGCUUCCAAGUCUACCAUUCUCUCAUUUAUUUGGACUUAAUCCACUGAAACUGAGGUUUUAUUUGCGCGGAUAAUGAUAAUAUUUGGUGCUAAAUUUCUUGUUGUGAAUUGCAGAAAACAGCUGCUUGAUCUUCACUAGGAUGGUGGUUGCAAAUAAUAAUUAUGCAACCCGGUACGAGUUGCAUGUUAAAUAACUAGUGUAUAUGUAGAUACAGAUGAUGGUAUUUUUUUUUUAUAAUGACCCGUCCGUGUCGUUGUAAGAGGGGCCACCGUUGAUUGUGCCUUGGCCAUGGAGUGAUAUUCCACGCACCACCAACACUGUUCAAGAGCCACACGAACAUGGAGGAAUUACAGGGGCUGGCAGGGGCAGGGUCCUGCAAGGUUUUUUUUUUCUUCAAUAAAUUAGAUUUUUAUCUUUAAAAAUAUAAAAUUUAAAAUUUUGGCCCUCCCUCUAAAAUCUUUUAUCUAAUUUGACAUUCCCAAACUACAAUUCCUAACUCCGUUGCUUACUAUACACACGAAGUCAUUGUUUUAUGAUGAAAAAAUAAUAAAUUUUUUCUUCUUUUCUUGUAUUUUUAAAUUUUGGUUUUCUUUUAUCUUAGAUUUUAUGAAUGAUGAAUUCCAUAACAAGGAUGAUACAUGCCCAUUAAUCAUACAUGUCAUUAAUAACUUUAAAACAUAGACACCUAAUGGUGAAAAUUAUAGAUACAACCAUCAAUUAAAAAAUAAAAACAGCGAUUAAAUAUAUAAAAAAAGUAAUGGAAGUACAAGAAAUAAAAUAGAAAAAUUAAAAUUAGAGACACUUCCAUUGAAAAAUAUAAAUAAUUAGAGGCCCUGAAAACACUAUACACACACACAAGAUUAAGCGCAUUGAAUAAACAACAUGGAUUGUUGGAGUGGCUGUUUUUCCAGGCCUUGGUGAGGUGGUGCAAGUAAAUGAAUUCACACCAAAUACUCACUCGCUAAUCCUUUUCAACUUUUUAUUGAUUAUUUUACCCUUAAUAUUUCAGUUCAAGGAGAAUUGGCAACUCUUGUUUUGCCUUUUUCGGUUUUCUUUGUUAAAACUUCCUAAUCGUGUAUACGAGCAUAAAAGAAUAAUAAUAAUAAUAACAACAACAAUAAAAAUAAUUACUGCAUUAAUUUUUCUCGGAAAAUGUUUUGAUGGGCACCUUUACAUAUUUUCCAUAGAAAGUGUCUAAGAUGCUCUAUGAUAAGAUUUCAAUCCAAUUAAAUAUUUUACAUAUUCAUGGAAAAUCCUCUCCUUGAAUUCUUUUUGCCUUUAUAUCAUAAAUUUUUUAAAAAAACCCUAUUCAUGUUAAAACAAACUUUUCUAUUUUAAUUUUUAAAAAUAGAAUGUUUAAUAAGAGAUAUUAUUAAAUAAUCAUAUAAUAUUAUAAAUAUUAUUAUUAUGAAUUUCACUUUUCACAUGAACAAGAAAGUAUUGCAUUAAAAAUAUCUAAUGAUAAUAAAAUUCUCUUAUUAUACAAGGUAAUUAAAGUUUUUUUAACUCAAUAUAUGUUGAUCAAUACAUGGAUGUAAUUAUCCUGUUAUUUGUGGAUAUCAUUAAAUAAUUAGUAAAAAAAAUAGGUUUUCAUGAUUAGAAAAAUAAAGAAACUUUGAAAAAAAAGAGACAAAAAAAGACAUAAUAUUUAAUGUCUUUGAUUAUUUAUUUAAAAAUUGAUAUUUAUUAACAUUUUGAUACUAGAUAAAUGGGGGAUCUAAUCGGAAAUGUAUUUUGUCUGUAACCCAAAUGAGAAUAAAAAGAUAAUCGGAGGAAAAACAAGUUGUCCUUUUCCCAAAAUAAAAAUAAAAGAGAGGAUAUGGUGUGGACAUUGAGAAAACAAUCAUUUUCAAUAACAACUGAUUAUAGUCAAUUUCAUCCAAAUACUUAUCUCUUGGAAUGGUGUUUUUUUUUUUUUUUUUGUAAAAAAAUCAUUUCCUAUAAUAGUAUUCCAUGCUAAUACAAGAGUUCGGAGGUUUGAUAUAAUAUAAAUAUGAAUCACAUUAAUUAUUUAAUUCCAUCCUAAUAACUGAAAUCCUUUUCUUUUGAGUUCUAUGGACCUGAUCAAGGAACAUUAAUCAUGCAGGAAGAGCAGGCCUCCAUGCCCUUAUGCAUUGUUCUGAUUACAGUGGUAACCUGUUCAAUUUGAUCUUCGCUUGAGCAUGCUGAUAGAAGUACUUUGGCAGUUCCUCCAUCAGGGUGACAUCCAGCAUCGAUCAUUUCUUCAAAGAUUUCCAAGCAUCUUGCGUAUAGUUUCUUUCUAGAGUAGGCUCCCAAUCUUGAAGUCCAAGUCACAACAUCAGGUUUCAGAUUUUUGGUUGGAAGUGAUUGGAAAAUACCUUCCAUUCUCUCGAAAAAUCCUGCUCGUCCAUAUAUGUUGAUUAAGAUGUUGUAUGUACUGAUAUCAGCUCCAUAAGGUCCCUUUUCCAUUGCAGUUAGAACUUCCUCCAUCUUUUCAAAUUGGCCAAGCCGGCCAUACAAGUGCAUCAUGCUGUUGAGGACAAACGUGUCUGGUUCAAGCCCAGAUUCGCUCAUCUGGUUAACAAUUUCUUCGCAUUUAUCCACAUUUCUUGCCCUUGAGUAGGCACACAGAAGUAGCAUGUGUGAUUUCAUUGUAGGGGUUAUUCCUAGUCGCUUCAUCUCAUUGAAUACCGCUUGAGCAUCUAAAAAACAUGAAGGAGCAGCCAAAUCAUUAAGCCAAAACUUCAUUCAAGGAGCAUAUACGAAAAACAAGAGGAAUUUCUUCUAAGCAAGGAAAGGUGUCGCAAAUGGAUGAAAUGCUGAUAGCCUGAUAAUAUCUCAUACAACUUUAUCUUGUUUCCUAGGAAAUCUUAGAAAUAUUGUGGAAGAUCUCCAGAAUAAAAUUGAACACUGUUCCAAAAUAUAAUCCAAAUGUUGCAAUAUAGAUCCCUUCAAGUUCGUAGUUGAUCCGAACGUUUUUAAACCAUUACAUGCUCAAAAUGUUCCCAAAUUCUCUGGAGCUUAAUCUUUCCCCAAUUCUCACUUAAUAAAGUACAUUGAUACUAUUUGGUUCAAGCAUCUUACCCUCAUGAAGGCCAGCUCUCCCAUACGCAUCUACCAUGAUGUUAUAUGAAGCUCUAUCCGGCUCACAGCCCAUGUGCCGCAUGAGUGAAAAUAUUUCUGCAGCCCCGUAAGGAAAACCUGCACGACUGUUAGGACAAGAUAGUUAAAUAUCAUCAGUUCUAUUGGGAAUCUCUUGGAAGCAAGAAGCAGCACCUCCAGUAUUCUUUUCCAUUUUCUUUGAAAGAUUAUUGAAACACCAUAUCAUUCUAUGAUACUAACCUGUAAGCUUCCAUGAGCGCGUUGUAAGUAUACACAUCAGGCUCAAGCUUAUCUUCUUGCAUCUGCUCAAAUAUUUCUUCUGCCUUCUCACAGAGUCCCUCUCUAGCAAACGCGUUCACCAGAGCUGUGUAUGUGCAGAUAUCUGGUCUGCAUUUUUGACUUCUCAUUUCGUUAAACAACUUCAAGGCCAUGUAAGAUUGACUUGCCUGUGUACAGGAAAAAGAUUAGCAAAAUGAGUUUUUAAGGAUCCUAAACACCACUGUUGUCCAGUUAUCAGAAUUUAUAACCAUAUCCUUGAAUUUAGUCUGAUAAUUGUUUGAAAUUGAAUGCAUAUAUUUCAAGUUGUUUGUUGUAUCACUGUAGACUCGUAGACGUACGAGUUACGCAUAAUUUUCUACUGGGACCAGUGGCAUUUCAAGAAGAUCAGAUUUGCAGAAUAAUUCAGAGCCAAAUACCACUGAGCUUACCUUCCCAUGAAGGUUGAUCAACAGUGUAUAGGUGUCAGUAGAGGGCUGGCAGCCAUCAUUUUUCAUUCGCUGAAAGAUCUGAAUUGCUCUUUGAGGGUUUCCAGCCUUCGUUAACCCAUCAAUAUAAGCAUUGUAUACAAUUGCACCUGGCCAAAAUUAGAGUAUAUGCUCACUUUUCACUCAUAGAAUGUGCAUGCAAGUGUAUCAACUAUCAACAGAACAGCUUGAAAAACGAAAAUCUGAGACGUAAAUAAGAGAAUGAAACACAAAAGCAGAACUAAUGCCCUGUAUUUCACCACCACAAAAAGAAGAGAAAUAACCCACGCAAUCUCAUAAAGGAAAGCUACAGAAGCAAGUUUGUCAUCCAGGAGCCUCUAGCCUAAUCCAGUUCCGGUCUAGCUAAAUUAGCAAGGGGGUCCCUCUUGGUUUAAUCAACCAUUCUCUAAGCAUGGUGAUGUAGAUAAGGAGUAGUAAUCACUACUAUUAUAGUAGCAACAAGAAAUAUGCAGACCAUGAACCAAUCUUCUCUUUUCCUACAUUUAGUAUACUUCACCCCCGAAAAGAAAAAAGAAAUACAGCUCUGUGCAAUUAUUGAGCAAGGUUUCAAAAUUUAAAACGAAUUUAACCCCACAAAAAAUCAAUUUUUGAGGCAAAGAAUCUUACAAGUUGAGGAAAUUUUUGUUUUGUAAGAAAUGGUUGAUGUAGUCCAAUAACUUCUUGAAAAUACAAUUUCCCUAAAAGCUAAGAAGAAAUGAAUUGGUAAACACAUACUUGGAGGAAGGCUAUACUUUCGCAUAUCAACAAAGGCAGCUUCAGCUUUUUCUAACAAUCCACAUGCACAGUAAGCCUUUAUAAGAAGGGCAUAAGUGUCUUCAGUAGGGAUACACCUGGCUUGAAGAAGAUCAACAUAUGUUUCUUCUGCCUUCUCGUACAAAGAUUUUUGCCCAUAAGCAUCUAUUAGUAAAUUGUAGCACAUGACAUCUGUCUGGAAGGAGCUCUUGUACAAUAUCCAUUGACAUAUCUGGAAAUUUUAGAGUUACACCCAACAAGAUUAUUAAGAAUUAAGAACAAACGAUAUGAAAAAUGUCUAUAUAAUAAAUAGAGACAGUAAAGAGAUUUGUUUCAUUUAGUUGUAGGAAAAUGCUGGUAUAUGAGAAUUCCAAACACCAACUGCAGCACCAACCACUUAAAGGAGAUUUGAACAAUCGAGGAUUCAGUCUUAAUGGUUGAAGAGAAAAAUACUGUACAAAAAUCCUGCCACAAAAAUUUGUGCGUGCAAGGUGGUUUAAUCCAUCGCCUACCACCUUACACGAUGAAAGAAAUAAGGCACGAUUUACUCACCAAUGCAAUCGGAUCCCAUUGUUUAUUCAAACGAAGUUGGACGGCUACAUUAAUAAGAUCAUCCCAAGUCUCGUGAGUGACAGGAAGAGUAUCAAGAGCAGCCCAAACAUUAUUCGGAUCCACUUCUUUCCGCACAAAGUUCAGAAUCUGAUGAGCAACAGGACUUAGCACUGGGAAAAUUCCAUCAACAAAUCCAGAUCCAUAUUUCCAUCCUUGUCCCCUCAAAGAGCCACCUGGGUAUAAAAGAUGACUUAAUAAUUAAAGCCAUAUUUGCUUGAGCAGUUAUAUGUAUGAGCACAAAGUGAAUUACUCCGUAUUACAUCGUUUCCUGGACAUCUUUUUGUGAUCAAAGAUUCGCCAUUUGCCAUGUUUGUCGAUAUAGACCCUGUCGCUUUUCCACUUUUUAACAUCUCCACUACUGGAAUUCUUUUCUCGGCGUCUGAAAUGACCAUUCCGGAUUCUUGAUUCUAUAAAAAUAUGAUUCAGUGUGCAUCUAACAAGCAACCUGCAAACACUAAUCAAGUAAACACACAAUUGCCAGCAACAAAAUACACACCUCUUAAUUUAAAGCCAUUACACGGAGGAAGCAACCAAAUAAAAUCCAUAUAAAGGAUGCUUUAGACUUCAAAAUAAUUGGACAAAGAGAGACACUAAAACUACUUUUAAUCACAAUAGCAAACACUUGAAAUGCAAACCAGAAAACCUAGUUAAAAAAGAAGAAGAAAAGUAGUCAACUUUUCCUUUGUAAACCAAAUAUCUUUUCCCUUUCUUCCGCAGUAAUUCUUAACUGCUGUGAGUAUACGUUUUUUUUUCAUUACAGAAUCAAAUAUUAGUCUAAUCUAUCAGAUUAAACUACAAAAAUCAAAAUUUGCAAGAUAAACAAGGCCACAACUGUUGAAGACUGGUUAGAGUUCAACAACGAUAAGCAUAGCACUCUGACAGCUAAAACUGGUCCAUCAUCUUAUAACUUCUGAAGUCACAGUAAGACUUUUUAGAUAAUGAUGAUUGCUCGUUCAAUAUAUAUGAGAGCCAACAAAAUGCUAAAAUGUUUUAACUAAUAAGAACACAAAACAAUUUAGACAUACUCUCUCAAGUGAACGUUGAUACUUAGCAAUUCCAUUGAAACCCAUUUCCCAGAACAAUAAAUUCCAUGAAAAAGCAAUAUUAUCCAGCAAGAGGAGAAACACCAGAAUUGAAGUUAAUAAAUACAGAAAAUAACAAGGCAGCAUGAACAGCAUUAGCAGUGGCAUUGCAUAAGGAAAGAGAGGAAGGAAGGAUACGACUUACAUGAAAGCAUAAAAGAGGAGUUUGGAGUUGGGUAUCUGUAAACAUCCAGUAGGCAAGAAGAUAUGUGAAGAGUGUUUCUUGGAUAAUGGACUACAUGGAUGAAGACCAGCACUGCCAGACAAAAGUAGCUUCUGUUUUUUUCUGUUUACUAAGGGACAAAAGCCUCAAAAUAUCUCUAACGAACUUAAGGCGUCAAACAAUAGCGUUAUUGUAGCCUCGUGGUGUCUGAGGUUGCAUGGGAUUCUAUAUUGAGACAGUAGCUGAUAGCUAGAAUAAUCAAUUCUAAAAAAGUUUAUUUUUAAUAAUAAAAAAAGAAGAAGAUCAAAGGUUAAUUUGUUUAAACACAAUGGACAAAUUAUUGUCAUUAUUAUUAGUAUAAUUUAACAGCAGAUACUCCAGCAUGACACUUGUUGCAAAGACGAAGCUAUGAAGUGCCAAUUGAGUUGCAAUUCGACUCUACUAGCAGAAGUUUCCAUGCUAAAAAAGCGAAAACUGCUGUUAAAAUGGGUUAAAAGGCUUAUUGAGGUUGGGGUGAUUUUUUUAUUUUUUAAAAAAAUUAAUUCGCUUUUAUAUUUUCAGAGUUAAUAUUAAUUUUUUAAAAUAAUAAUAAAAAUAUCAUUUUAAUAUAAUUCCAAGCAAAAACAUAUUUCAAGGGCGAAACUUCCAUUCUCUUAAUAUAAACAGGGUUACGUCAUGCAUUUCCAUUUUUACAACAGUAGUUUUGGCUGCAAUUAGAUGGGGCAAAAUAAGCUAUAACUUUUGUGUGACUUGGAUCAAAUUGAAGAAAUAGAGUGUAAACUGAAAAAUUGAGGCAAGUACAAGGACCCAAAAAUAAAGUAAGCAUUUUAAUUCGAUAUCCAUAUUCCACGGUCCCUCUCUUUCCUUCUUCGGAGCUCCAUUGGAAUUAAAUGAGAACGGCCAUAUUACAGGUCAAGCAUUGAGAGGAGAUAAAUAUAAUUGAAAAGACCAAUUUUCUGCACUCUGUCAAACGUAUCAUAUAGGAAAUCAUAUUGAUGCAAAACUUUAGAAGCCAUCUAAGAUUGGAGAGAAGUUUUGUAACAUUUCCACAUCACAGUUCUACAAACAUGGAAUUAAUGGAAACUUCGGCUAAAAGCAACUGAUUCAAGCAAAUUCCAGAGGAAAGUAACACAAGUAUCUCGAUUGGUGUCAAUACUGGCAAGAACUCCACUUUAGCCAAAAAAUACAAUGUCUAUUCCACUUCAGCCAAAUAAUCAUCAAUUUCGGCUGGAGUUAGUACCCUGCAGUAAAGAAAGCACAAGGGAUAAGUUUGCCAUGGUCAUGCCACACAUAAAUUCUUCCAAGGAAGCUUAAACAUCCAAAGAAAUAGUGGAUUGGCCAUUUUGAACACGAGAUCCAUAUGUAAAUUGUCAGACUGAAACUAGAGCAAGGGUGCGUGAAAAUCAGAACUUCAAAACUGAAACCACAAGUGGAAGGCCAUAUAUGAAAUUGGUGAGAUCCAAAAGAUUUUAGAUAUCAGAUUUUAUCUAGUUAUGAACUGUGUUAACAAAAAUGUGCAUCCUGCAAGUUACUUCUGGAACUCAUCCUAAGCUUGAAAUUACGUGACACUAUUACCAAGUUUAACAAGGAAAAAGGGUACAAUUUCAAUGUUUUUCAAAGAGCAUGCCUGAAUUGACAUGCAAAGACACCUGGUACAGCUGUGGACCUUUGUCAUCAAAACCAGCGAUUAGUAAAGAUACUCCAAAAGGCCUUACACCUCUGCGAGGAAAAACAAAGGAUGAGUAUUUUCAAACUUCAAGAAUAAGAGCAUGAAGAGUUGACAUGCUGAUGCAGGAACAUAGGGAGAGAGUUGUUGGCCUAUUAGAAUAAGGACUAAGGUUAUGAACUUUGGAAAUUAAAAUUCAGAUCUAAAUUACAAAGGAAAUCAACUAAAACCACUGAAACACUUUGAAUGUAUAAAAGAUGUUCCAGUACCCAGAUUGAGUAAACUCUUGCAUGACAGCAGCAGUUUCCCUCACAAGUUGUGUGACAGGAAUUGGUUCCUACAAUCAUAAAAAUUCACAAGUUACAACCUUCCCGAUUAACAACAAAAGAUGACAAUGAAUUGAUAUAAAAUAGUAAUUGGAUAUUUAACUCUUGGAUUUCAAGCAAAAUUAAGCUGUUUUGGGGGUCAGAAUGGCAUUGUUGGGAAUAAGACAACUAAUAAGAAGUCUUGUAAUAUAGACAACCUCAAUACCUGCUUUCCACUUUGGACCUUAGCACGAAUAUCUAAAGGAAAUGUAAUUACCCCGACGCCUCCCCAGGCGGGUGAUAUCUUAUCUUAACCAGGUUAUCAAGCAUUAGACGAAUUAUAUACAUGAGUUUGUUUAGAGGCAUCAAAAGGAUGCACAUAUCCCAUUCAUAAGAUAAGCCAAGAAAAUUUAGCAACCUUAUCACUUAUCAAUGACAUGAAAAGAAAAGCUGAAGAACAAACGUGAAGCAAAAUAAUAAAGAAAAUCUUGAAGAUACCACCUUGUACAGUCUAUGAUAUUGCUCUGCUUGCUUCCUACUUUUCCGAACCAAAACUAGAAAGUCAGGACCCAUUCCACUGCAACAAAAUACAUGUGAUUCAGCACUGUUAAGAAAAAAGUACAGCAAAGCAACCCAUUUUGACAUAGGUAAUAAGUUGCACAAGUUAGUAAGAAGUGGCUCAUUGAGCAACCAAAUUGCCAAGAUGUCUUAUUUCAAACCCAAGUACAGAGGAACUACAUAUUUGUCCCCCUCUUUUUUUCAGUUGAAACAGAAACAGGGUACAUGUACAACGUGUUAAAGUCACGUCCAUAACCAGACCAAUUAAGAACAUUGACCUACAAGGAGUUCCACUGAAGUUCAGAUUAUAACAACAGGCAUGCUUCUAUCUCAAUUUACCACCCCGGGUCAAAUUUCACACUUAUCAGGACACUAUAACAACAGCAGAAACUAUACAAUUUCCCACCAAACAUAAAGAGAGCUUUGAAUCUACACACCCGCCUGCUACAAUCAUUCAUGACAGAUAUUUUAGCAAUAAUUAAGGCCAGAGAAACACAAGCUAAAAAAAUGGAACUUCCUAAUUACUGAGAAGCAGGCAGAAACAAACCUGUAGACAACUCCAAUAUUGGGUGUCAGAUUCUGUAUUUUCUGAACCUGAAACAAGAAGCAAUUAAAUACCAUCAACAACCAACUCAAGUUACAUCCCAUCUUGCAAAUUAGAAUAAUAGACCAAUAAACUGGCUUCAAAAUCAAACCAUCUCCACCUCAGUCAACACGAUUUAAAAUAACCAACACUGCCUUUUUAUACAAUGUGGGAUUAAAGAGGAUAUAAAUCUACACACUCCAACAUUCAAAGCCCCAAUCUUAGAGUCAUUGACUAGUAUAGUAACGCCUCAUUGGCAGGAACCCAAAUCACUAAGCUCAAAUUACUAAUAAAAAUUACAAAUUUACACCGAAUUUGAACAGAUUUCUACCAACCGAUGUCACUAAAGAAAACACAAAAAAAAAAAAACGCAAAAAACCAAAAGGGCUUCUUGAAUUUAAACCAAAGAAUAUAACAAAACCAAUAAAAAAAAUAAUAAAUGUUUACUUACAGAAGAUUCAUCGACUAAAAUAGAUGGCAAUUUCUUCUCAGUUGCAAUAACAACACCGUUUGCCGCUACAACACCAAAAAAAUAAUAAAAUCAACAACAUAAUAUCUAAGCACUCAUCAACAACGUAGUGCAUUCGAAAAUGACAAGAAAAUGAGAGAAAAAAAGAGAGAGAGGGAGCUUAAAUUGCAACAACCUUUGAUUCCGAGAGAAGUUUGGCCUGAUCCAACGGCAGUCAAUGCGUGCUCAAUCUGUACUAGCUUUCCGGUAGGACUGAAAGUAGUGAGAGAAAAGGAGUACUGGCUAUCACCCAUGGUUUAUUGCUUGAAGACGCAGAGAGGAAAAACUGAGAAUGCGAGUGUGUGGGAGAGAAAGACAGGGAUAUUUACUUGGGGUUUUAAGUUUUAACUUUGCUUUUCUCGUUGGAGAAGAAGGUGUUUUCUUACGAGGGCUUUCACAAGGGAGUAUUAUGGGCUUUUAUGACGGCAGGUUGGUCCUCUUUACAUUGAGCUCAAUGAAGGCUCGGAACCAGUUUUGUUUUUAAGUAUUAUUAACAAAUUUUUAUUUAUUUAUUAAUAUAAAUAAUUUUUAAUUUAUUUAAUUACAUUUAUAUAUAUAAUUUUUAAUUUAUUAUAUUUUUUGAACUAGAAAAAUAUAUUUAAAGAACUGCAUAUAUAAAUUUUUAUAAAAAAUAAAAAUAUUUGACUCAUAAUAAAUCAUUCAUAUUUUUAUAAAAAAAUAAAGAUGGGUAAACUCUUAAUUAGGCCUUGCUGCUGAAUUUUGUUGUUGAUUUGUAAUUUAAUUAUUGUUUAAGAUUUUUUGUGUUAGAUUUGGAUAACUUUAUUUGGAUUUAAUCUCCAAAAUUGAUGGGUAUCAUCACUUAUAGAUGAAUGGUUUAGCUUCUCUCAUUUAUUUGGAUUUAAUCCACUGAAACUGAGGUUAAGAAUUUCUUGGAUUUAAUCCACUGAAACAGUUGCUUGAUCAAGAUCAUUGGCUUGUUUGAAGGCAGAUAAAGGCUUAAAAAAAAGGCGAGAGGGAGCGAGAAAGAGAGGAUGUGAGAAAUAAUUAUAGUUGAAACAAAUGAAUUACAUAUCAUUUUAUGUUGAGGAGAGAGAGAGAGGAUGUGAGAAAUAAUUAUAUCAUCUUAGAUUACAAAUCAUUUUGAGAAAAUCUAAAAGAAAAUAUCAUCUUAGAUUAAUUAUAGAUAUGAGUUGCAGUAGUUGAAAUUUCAAAGGCAAUUUUUUUAGAGUAGCAUUUGGAGAAUUUAAGUAAGGAAUAAGCUUCACGUGAGCGAGAUAAUAUCACAGCUGCAUUUGAUAGAGUAAAUGGUAAGUAGGAACUAAAAUCGAAUUACAGUAAAGAGGUCACAUAGAGUAAAUGGUAAGAAUUAACACCAAAGCAAAUAAUUAAUACCCUCAAAAAAGUUCUGCCUUUCUCACCUAAUCAUAAAAAUCAAUGUUUGGGAUGUGAGAAAUCUUUUGCCAAUCUUCACCCAUCUCCUCCUUCCCGUAACGUUCCCUUAGAAUGGGGCACCAUCUUAUCUCCAAUUCCUGUAGAGGCGCUGCCAAAACAUAGUCUGGUAGUGCUCUCAACAACGGGCAAUUAACAAUCAUCAACUCUCGAAGUUGUGGCAUAAUGGAUAUUAUUGAAGUUGUGUUGGCAUCUUCUUCUCCCAAGGAUCUCCUUUCAAUUCCAUCCCACUCCUCUACUUCUGUGAGACCCUCCAUCGCAAGUUUUUUUAAUUUGGGGAAAGCAGUGACCCUUGCAAUUUCUCCUUCAUUAAUACUGGCAUUCUCAUCUUUUUCUAUACCUAAAAAUCCAGCAUCCAGCCUUCUCACCUUCAUCAAAAUCAAUACCAGGCUUUCAAGGUUGGGCAAUCUACCCAACGGAGGCAAGACCUCCAGGUUUUCACAAUAACGGAGUGUAAGCACCUGUAAUCUGGUUAAUGCCAUCAUCCAAUUUGGCAAAUCCAACCCUCCGUACCCAUAUAUGGUUAGAUUUUCCAAGUCUGACGGAGGCCGUAAAGCUUCAAAUAAAAUGCCGUCCUCCAGGUUGUGGUCGAAAACCAAUUCCAAACGAAGCAGGCGCUUCUUAUUCUUGAGUUGUGCUUCUGCAGCGUCCCUCGCAUCUUCUUUACCUCCUCCUAGAUUCCCUAUCUGAAGACUCCCUCCAAUGUGAUUUAAGUUUUUUAAUUCUCUUAGAUUAGCUGCUUUACUUUCAUUCUCACCACCACCACACACAAAAAACUGGUCUAAUGUUCGAAGACAUGUUAUCCUCUCUAUUCCCUUUGGUAUGAAGGCCACACCUGAACCAUAAAUCCGGAGAUGCCUCAAUUUGAUAAGUUUUCCAAUCGCCCGAGGUAAUUCGUUGAGAUAACAACACUGAGUAACGUCUAGGGAUUGCAGAUUGCAUAAAUCACAAAUGGUUUCUGGCAGGGACUCCAACAUUCCACAAAAUGCCAAAUUGAGGUGUCUCAAAUGUAUCAAUUUCCCUACCUGAUUUGGUAUUUCUCUGAUAGAAGACUCUGACAAAUUCAAUGACCUGAUGCAUGUCAACUGCUUGAAUAAAUCAGGUAGUGCAGCUCCAAGCGAAGAGUCUCCAGUGUGGAUCAAGAGGCUGCGAAGACCUUUUGCUUUGUGAAUGGACUUGGGAAAAGAGGUCACCGCUAAAUGACGAACCCUUUCAAUUGAAGUCUUCACUGUUAGACAUUCAUUUUUUGUCAUAUAUUGGGCAAAAUCAUGCACUAUAUCAUGCAUCUUGAAUCUCAUUCCUUCACGAUCACUCUUCUCAAAAUCUUGGAAGAAAGAGCGCGUUGCUAAGACUUGAAAGUACUGCUCUCCUACAAGCUCCAUAUCUCCACCUGAAGUCUCCUUGAGGUAACCUUGAGCCAUCCACAUCUUCACCAAUUCAUCUUUGUCCAUCUCGUAGUCUUUUGGAAACAUGGCACAAUACAAGAAACAUCGUCUUACCACAGAAGGUAAAUCGUAGUAACUCAAAAGCAAAGGUGGAAAUAGUCCUCUUUCAACAUGUUCUAGCUCCCACAGUUCGCUAGAUAAAACAUGUUCCCACUCUUCUCUUGUUCUUUUAGACUGCAUUAGACCUCCUAAUACCUUGGCAGCUAGAGGCAAGCCCUUGCACUUGCUUGCAAUUUUGUCGCCGAUUUCUGUCAAUCUUUCGCACUCAUCUUUGCUUCUUUUAUGGAAUGCCACCUGAUUGAAUAUUGACCUGCAUACCUCAUCAGACAAUUUCUCAAGGUUGAUCACGUGGUCAGUUCCUAUCAUGGUUGCCACAGAAUGUUUACGACUGGUCACUAGAAUUCUGCUUCCUGUUGCACCGCCUUUGAGAGAUAGUUUCAGUGGUUCCCAUUGUCUAUGAUUUUCUGUCCAGACAUCAUCUAGGACAAGAAGGAACCUCUUUCCCUUAAUUGAUUCAGAAACACUUUGCAAAAGGGAUUCCAAUUCAACUAAAUUCGGUGCACCCCCUUGAAGCGCCUCAAGGAUAGCUUUUGAUAUCCUAACCUCAUCGAAUGGAUCUGAUACACACACCCAUAUCUUUUUCUCAAAAUGAGCCGUAACCCGAGCAUCAUUAAAAGCUAGUUGGGCGAGAGUUGUCUUUCCAAUCCCGCCCAUUCCUACUAUAGAGAUCUCCACGUCCCCUGCUUCCUGAAUACUUUCGCCCAGCAACUUGCUUACUACAGCUUCCCUUUCAUCAUCUCGACCACGCACGAUUGAUUCAUCAACAAGGGAGGUACUUGUUAUUCGUUGUAGUUCAUCAGUGGCUCUGUACAACUCAAAGCCAAACAUAGCUCUCUCUUUGGUAAUCUCAUCCACUUUUUCACAUACUUCUUUGAUCUUGAGGGCAAUGUCGCGACGUCGAGCCACUUGAUUGAAACAAAAGCAAGGAGAUCCCAGGAAGGAACAUCGCAUCUUCUGUAGGCUGCGAGUAUUUUCUUCAACUUCCUCCAUUUUCCAUCUAAGAAUUGCAGUGCUCCAUUCAUCUAGCACGUCAUCCAUAUCAUAGCAUACAUCUUUGAGCUUGUCUGCCCAAUCCCUUACAGCCUUAUCCUUCACUUGUUUUCUAUCUGCAUCUUCAAGGACAGAUUGGAUAGCAAGGAGAUUGCUUUUCAGCUUGUCGACUUGUUUCUGCACACCCCCUACUAGGUUCACUUCUUCCUGUACCUAUUGGUGUAGAAAAGACCAGAAAGUUCAAGCAGAGGAAACAGUUCUAUGAUUUCACUACAAGUUUUUAAUUUUAAUUUUUGGGAAUUAAUAGAUUAAAUAAUUUUUAUUAAUCUUUUUUCCGCAUAGUUCACACGUACAGUGAAUUGGAUUGGCUAUAUUAUAAAUUCAUAUAUAAAAUAUUUAUUAAGAACCUAUAUAUUAAAAAUAAUAAUAUUUCUUUUUAUCAUCAUCAUGAUGAUAUCUCUGUCUGCACUCUGCUACUAUACAAGAAAGGAAAAAAAUGAAUCUUAAAUUGUUCGACGUCAAACCUGUAUAUAACAUAAGCUUGGCGGAUCAAAGAAAUAUAAAAGGAAUAAAAGGAAAGUGAAUAAAAGGAUCUGUAUUUGUUGUUAUUUGUAAAGUCUAUAAUAAGAUUAUGGAAGAAAAAAAAGACUUAAAUUUUUAUAUUUCUUAUCAUGUUACGGUUAAUUCGAUCAUUGCAAAUUGUAUAAAAGUAAUUACCUGUUGAGCAACGACCGUGGUUAACUGCUCCAAAAUUGGCGAUAAAAGUGCCUCUGCCAUUUGUCUUUUUGGUUUAAUUUUAUUUUUAAAAAAGAGAUAAUUAUGAUGAUGAACUGAGAGAGAGAGAGAAGAGUGUGAGGGGAAGGAGGCUGCUGGUUGUGAAAUGAAGAGAGAGGGUUAGUUUAUGUACUUGGGGUUUGGUGAUGAGGGUUGACUAUUGUUUCCAUCCCUGUACUGUUUCUAACAUUUCAAUUCAGUCCCUGUAUUAUUGAACGUUUCAGUCUAGUCUCGGUCAGGGGUUUCCAUCUGCGGAUGGCUUUUCCUGAUUGUAUGUUUCUACUGAGAAUGACAUGCCAUUUUGAGUUCCAAAGGUGAAACACUCGUGCUUUUCUAACUUUUCCUGGCUAAGGAUUAUUAUUUGUGGAAAGUAAUUUCUUCUUCGAUUUAUAGCAAUUAUUUUGGAUUGAUACUGACCUUAGGUUAAGAAUGCUGUAGUUUCUACUGAAAUGUAUCUGAUACAGACCUUAGGGACAACUGAUUAUAGCAUUCUUCUCGUCUGCUUCUCUAUUUCUUCUCUUCAUUUUAUGUUAUUCCACUAGUCUUCCAAACUGGAUCACGGUGAUAUAUAUCUGUCCAUCCAAACUAAUUUACCCAAACCAAAAGUAGUAACCAAUUAGCUCGUGUAAUGGAACUAUAAACAAGCAUCUAUCUUUCUGGGUUUUUGAGAUCAGGUGAUUUUAUCCUGUUUUCAUAGCAGGGACUGGGGUUUGAUAUUGAUCUUUGAUUUUACCCAAACCAAAAGUUUGAAAGGAUUGCUGGUUUGUGUGAUUGGAGCUCCUUUCAAUGGGUGUGAAAAGGCCAAGAAAUGAGCAAGAUUUUCUGGAGGAAAGGAUUCAUAUUGUCUGGACUCAAUCACCUUCCUUUCUUCUUCUUCUUCUUUCUGCAGGAAAAAAGUAGAGCAGAGCAACCCUUUUUGACAGAGGCUAGUAAGUUGCAGAAGUUAGUAAGAAGUGGAUCAUUGAGCAACCAAAUAGCCAAGAUGUCUUAUUUCAAACCCAAGUACAGAUGAAUGCCGUAUUUUUAUUUUUCUAAGGAACUGCAUAUUUGUCCCCCCACUUCUUCUUUUUCUGUUGAAACAGCGACAGGGUACGUGUACUCUAGAAAAUAUUUAGAAUGGAAACAAAUAGAAAGUAGCUUAAAAUUGUGAAAAUAUUGUUUUUAAAUUGUUUAUUUCAAACCUAAUUAAUAAUAUGUUUUUGUUUUAGAUAGUUUUUGUGAUUCUGAUUUGAAAAAAAAUAAGUUUUAAAAAAGUACAGCUAGCUGUGAUUAAUUGAAUUUAAAUACGUGUUUAAUAAAAAUUAUGGUUAAAGUUUAUGUAUAAUAAAAAAUAUGUAUAAAAUAUUUGAUAGUUAUGUUUGAGACUGUGGUUGUGAUUGUUUUUUAAAGUGUUUUUUACAUUAAAAUAAUAUUUUUUUAUUUUAAAAAAAUUAUUUUUGAUAUCAGUGCAUCAAAAUGAUCUGAAAACACCAAAAAAAUAUAUUAAUUUGAAAUAAAAAAAAAUUGUUUUUUACCAGUAAAUCAAAGUGUUUUUUACCUCAUUUUUCCUUGAUUAAUUCUAACUACGAAACAGCUACUGCACCAACAAGAUGGAAAAGGCUCACCAAGAUGUUCUCUUUGAAAAGAUUCUCAAUGAGUCGUUGACAUCUCAUACUUGUCUAAAAAUUUUAAUCUUUUUUUGGAAAAGAUUCUCAGUGAGUCUGUCUCCUGGCUUAUUGAUCAACACUUUUAUCAUAUUGUGAACAAACAUGUCAAUUUCCAGAAUUUUAUUGAGUAGGAUGACUGUAUAGAAUUACUCUGAUUUAUCAACACAUAUCAAAUUCUUGCUGCUGCUGAGGAAGAUAUCCUGCACUUAGCCAUCAUAGAGGGUAGCAAGGUUUUGUGUUGAUGGUAAUUACACUGACUCAUCGUCUAUCAUCUAGAAUUCAAUUUUAAAAAAUAUUGCAAGAAAUGUUUUUUUUCCUAAAUACAUCGAUCGGGUGUGGAUAGAUUGAUUACAAAGCGACUUCCUAAAAAGUCUUGGUCUUAAUAUGCAAAGAUGAUCCAAGUAUGCCAUAUAUUAUUUUUUUAAAAUAAAACCCACAUAUCUAGUCCACGCAAAGGUACUCGAAUAUGGAUUUGUAAAAAUAAAAAUGAAUAUUUAUACGAAAUUGAAUUGUGCAAAUAAAACCCACAGAUCUAGUCCAUGAUCUACGGCUCCUCCAGAGUUCCGUAGUGGUGUCUUUCUCAACUAUUCUUUAAAUAAAAUGUUUGGGAUGUGAGAAAUCUUGUGCCUAUCUUCACCCCUCUCCUCCUUCCCGUAACGUUUCCUUAGAGAAUUUAUGUAGAGGCGCUGUCAAAACAUAGGCCGGUAGUGCUCUCAACAAUGGGCAUUUGAGAAUUCUAAACUCACAAGUUGUGGCAUGAUGAAUAUUGAAGUCGUGGUGGAAUCUUCUUCUCCCACUCUCCUUUCAAUCCCAUCCCACUCUUCUAGUUCUUUGAGAUGCCAAAUGCUGAGUUUUUUCAAUUUAGGGAAAGGAGAGUGGUAGUUUUUUCAAUUGGGGCAAUACUCUUCCAAUUCUCUUUCACUAAUAUUUAUUGGUGGAAAAAAUCACUGAUAGUAGUUUUAAAACACUCAAAGAAAAUAAAACAUAUUGUUUUAUUUCAACAACAAGAAGCUUACAAUAAUUAAACAAAAGCUUUUAAUACACACCCUCUUUUUCUCUCUAGUGUUCAUCUCUUAUCUUUCCCACACACAAUUACAUAAACUUACCUAUCUAUUUAUACACAAAUUAAAAGUAAAAAAAAAAAAAUCAAACUUCAAGUGUGAAGGCGGCUGGUGGCUAAACAGUGGGGUCCUUUUGUAUUUUGUCAAAAGAGAUGAAAUUAUAAUCAAUGAUGAUGAUAUAUAUAUAUAUAUAUAUAUAUAUAUAUAUAUAUAUAUAUAAACUACUAUGUGCAUUCUAUAAUUUAGUUAUAUAAUACAAUAGAUCUUUACAAUUAGUGAUUUCAACUUACCAAUAGAGAAAUUAUAGUAGAUCUUUACUAUGAUAUAUUCAAAAUAAAUAAAUAAAACAGGUAUACUUCAACACGCAUAUUAUACAUACACUUCUUUUUUAAAAAUUAAUCAUAAAAAAUUGAUUAGUUAUUUAUUAUAAAAAUCAGACCUGUAAGUUAUAUCUAAAUCAUUGAAAAUAGUAAAGGUAAACUAAUUAGAAGAGACAAUGUAUUUCAAAUUAGUUAAUUUAUAUAGAAUUAUUUUAGUUACUAAAUUAAAAAAUUCAAAUUUUUAUAUCACUUGGAAUACAUAAGGUGGAUUUAAUCCACAAAAUCGAUGGGUGAUAACCUCUAAGAUAUCGAUGGGUACAUAUAUGGUGGAUUUAAUCCACAAAAUCAAUAAGAGACCAAUCGGCUAGCUCCAAAAUCAAACCAUCUCCACCUCAUUCAAACACGAUUUAAAAUAAUCAACACCACCUUUUUAUACAAUGUGGGAUUAAUGAGGAUAUAAAUCCAAGGCUCCAACAUCCAAAGUCUCAAUCUUAGAUUUAUUAGCUAGUAUAGCAACGCCUCAUUGGCAAGAACCCAAAUCACUAAGCUCAAAUUACUAAUAAAAAUUAUAAAUUUUCAGAUAAUAUUUUUAAUAUUUAAUCUUUCUAGCAAUUGAUGAUAGCAAUUGCAAAUGAAUAGAGGAGGAAGCAUCGAGAUCAUUGGCUUGUUUGAAGGCAAAUGGACCCUUUGAUCGUUAGAUGAUGCAUCUAAAUGAGGCUCCACAUUAUAAAAGCGUAAUUAGGUGGCACGCGCUAUCCCACAAACUCACCUUAGAUUUUCAAAAUAAAAUUAGAUGGAGGAUCCAUGUCUAUUUGGGUCCUCCCUAGACAGGACCCCAACAUAUUCGGGUCCAGUAACGACCAGGUCCAAGUCUAGCGUUGGGCUAGGUUGGGUAGGACCCAAGGUUAUUUGGGUGUACCUGGCAGAAUCCAAGAUUGUUUUUGAGUCCUGCAACUAAUAAUUAUAUGUAAUUUCUAAAUGAAACUAAAUGUAAAAUUAAAUAUAAUUUGAUAAAAUUAUUAUAAACAUUUGGUAAAAUUAGUAAAUGAUAUAACAUUUUCUUUCAAAUUCAUCAAUUAUUUAAAUAUUAAGUACAAAAAAUACUCUUAUGAAUUUUGAUAAAAAUAAUAAUAUUUAUAAUACAACUGAUAACAUUUUUAGUAUUAAAUUAUUAAUUAAUAUAAAUAAUAUUAUUUAUAACACCAAAAAUAAUAAUAUUUUUGAGAUUAAUACUAUUAAUUAGACUAAAAAAUAAUAUUAAUAAAACAAAUAAUAAUAUUUCUAAUACUAAUACUAUUAAUUAUACUAAAAAUAUAUAUUAAUAAAAAUAUAAAAUACUCUUAAUAUUAAUUAUACUAAAAAAAUAUUAAUAAAACAAAUAAAUAUUUUAAUACUAACUUGUAAUUAUACUAAAAAUAUGGGCAGCCCAAGCGCUAAGUGAUGCUUGGACUACACUCAAGAGAAAUCAUAUUAUUUUAAAAUAUUUGUCCACUAAUUGCUAUUGAAUUUAAAAUAAAUAUACUUUUAAAACUAAUAUAAAGUUACCAAUAGUCGAUUUGAUAGCUGCUUGCAUAAAAUCUCAUUGAAUUUGGCCAAUGGUUUUUUAGAAUAAAGUAAAAAAAAAGUUAUUUCAAAACAUAACCAAAGUAGUUUUAGUUAUUUGUCAGAAACUAGUAUAUCCCAUAAAAAUCAGAGUUUUGGAUGAAAUAAAAUCAAUUCUAAAAUCAAACGCCGAUUGAAGCUUCAACGCAUUUGUGAACUAGAGAAUUUAAUUAUUAAACUCGUUUGUUUCGCGUUCAAAAAUAUUUUAAAAUUAUUUUAUUUUUUAUUUAUUUUUUUGUUUUUUAAAUUAAUAAUUUUUUUAGUAUAUUUAGAUCAUUUUAAUGUGUUUAUAUAAAAAAUAAUUUAUAAAAAAUAAAAAAAAUUAUUAUUUUAAUAUAUUUCUAAUAAAAAAUACUUUGAAAAAUAAUUAUAAUAAUACUGUCACACAUGCUGUUUAAUGUUUGUUCAAAAAUUGUGCUUUUUAAAAUAUGCAUUCUAACGCAAAGAAAGCAUAUAAAACACAUCAAAGUUGCAAAAGUACGUAGUUUUAAUUAUUAGCAAAAGUAUUCUAAAAUAUGAAAAGAUAGGUUUAAAUACCCUAAAUAUCCGUAAAUAACUAGAAAAAAAUUAAUAAAACUAAAAUCCAAAAUUAUCAAGGCAAAAAUCUAAAAUAUGGUCUGAAACUUCAAAGGCAAUUUUUUUAGAGUGGCAUUUGGAGAAUUUAAGUAAGGAAAAAGCUUCACGUGAGCGAGAUAAUAUCAUCUUAGAUUAAUUCUUUAACAUGUAAAAUUUAAGUCUAAUUCAAUAAUUAAAUAAAAAAUUACCUCUUCCUGCCGGUCUUAACUAUUCUUUAAAUAUAAACAUAUGAAUUACAUAUUAUUUUAUAUAUGUUGAGAGAGAGAGAGAGAGAGAGAGAGGAUGUAUACUAUAUAUAUCACAGCUGCCUUUGAUAGAAUAAAUGGUAAGUAGGAAAUACAAUCCAAAGUCAACAUUAUACAGUAAAGAGGUAUAUGAAACAUACCUCGUCCUGCCUGUCCUACAGAUUAUGGUAAGUCGGAAAUCGAAUUACAGUAAAGAGGUCACAUAGAGUAAAUAGUAAGGCUUACAUAUUAUUUACACUCAACCUUAGCAAACACCAAAGCAAAUAAUUAAUACACUCAGAACCAAAUCUUUUACCGUUAAGAAUUAACACUGGUGGAAGAAUUUAUCAUCAAAAUAAAUGUUUGGGAUGUGAGAAAUCUUUUGCCAAUCUUCACCCAUCUCCACCUCCUUCCCGUAACGUUAGAUUGGGGCAACCAUAUGCGUAGAUCCUGUAUAGGCGCUGCCAAAACAUAGUCUGGUAGUGCUCUCAACAACGGGCACCAACGAAUUGUCAACUGUCGAAGUUGUGGCAUAAUGGAUAUUAUUGAAGUUGUGUUGGCAUCUUCUUCUCCCACUCUCCUUUGAAUUCCAUCCCACUCUUCUACUUCUUCGAGAUCCCAAAUCUCAAGUUUUUUAAUUUGGGGAAAGCAGUGACCCUUGCAAUUUCUCCUUCCUUAAUACUGGCAUUCUCAUCUUUUUCUAUACCUAAAAAUCCACCAUCCAGCCUUCUCACCUUCAAAAGUACCAGGUGUUCAAGGUUGGGCAAUCUUCCCAACGGAGGCAAGAACUCCACGUUUUCACAAUAACGGAGUGUCAGCACCUGUAAUCUGGUCAAUGUCAUCAUCCAAUUUGGCAAUUCCAACCCUCCGUAACAAUAUAUGCUUAGAUCUUCCAAGUCUGACGGAGGCUGCAAAGCUUCAAUUAAAGAGCCUUCAUGCUCUGGCAACACUGUUUUCUCUCCGAAGAAAUUCAAUACCAAACGAAACAGGCGCUUCUUAUUCUUGAGUUGUGCUUCUGCAGCGUCACUCGCAUCUUCUUUACCUCCUCCUAGAUUCCGUAUCUGAAGACUCCCUCCAAUGUGAUUUAAGUUUUUUAAUUCUCUUAGAUUAGCUGCUUUACUUUCAUUCUCACCACCACCACACACAGUAAACACAUCUAAUGUACCAACAGGUGUGUGGCUCAAGUGGUGAAGGGGGCAGCUCUCCUUUCAUCGAACCCAGGUUCGAAUCCCAGUGGGAGUGGGGCUGGAGAGUUUGCUCUCUUCCUAUUUCUCUUGGGUCCUCCCUGUGCGGUAUCCCUGUCACCCCCGCGGUGUCUUACCUGCUCACUAGGGCUUGCAGGAUGUUCAGUGGGCCGUGGGAUUAGUCGUGGUGCGCGUAAGCUGGCCCGGACACCCACGUUAUCAAAAAAAAAAAAAAAAAAAAAAAAACACAUCUAAUGUUUAGUUAUAUAAUUGAUCAUCGUGGCUACAAAAUGAAGUGGAACUAAUAAUUAAUGGAGUGGAAUACUAAAUAAAAUGAAUUGCUAUGUGUAUUCUAUAAUUUAGUUAUAUAAUAUAGGCAGAUAUGUACAAAUUAGUCAUUUCAACUUAUCAAUAAAGAAAUUAUAAUAGAUUUUCACCGUGGUAUGAUCGCAAUAAAUAAAAUAAAAUAGAUAUAUCUCACAGCAUUAAUAAUUUUUUAGUUUUUGUUAAACAAUGUCAACAUAUAUAUAUAUAUUAUACAUACACUCAUUUCUUUAAAAAUAAUUAUAAUAAAAUUAAUUAGUUAUUUAUUAUAAAAACCUGACCUAUGAGUUAUGUCUAAGCUGUUAAAAAUAGUAAAAAUAAAAUAAUUUGAAAAUAGAAUUAUUAAUUAAUUUAUAUCAAGUUGUUUUAUUUAUUAAAUUAAAAAAUCCAAGUUUUAUAUCACCUAGAUUACUUAUGUUGGAUUUAAUCCAUAAAAUUGAUGGGUAUCAUCUCUUAUAUAUGAAUCGAUGGGUAUCAAGUUACAUGCCAUCUUGCAAAUUAGAAUAAUAGACCACUCGACUGGCUCCAAAAUCAAACCAUCUCCACCUCAUUCAACACGAUUUAAAAUAAUCAACACCACCUUUUUAUACAAUGUGGGAUUGAUGAGGAUAUAAAUCUACAGACUCCAACAUCCAAAGUCUCAAUCUUAGAGUUCUUAUCUGGUAUAGUAACGCCUCAUUGGCAAUAACCCAAAUCACUAAACCCUAAAUCACUAAUAAAAAUUACAAAUUUACACCGAAUUUGAACAAAUUUCUACCAGCCGAUGUCACUAAACUCAAAUUACUCCUAAAAAUCUCAAUAUAAACCCAUUAACUACUAGACCAACAACUCAUUGGCUAGAAUCCACGUUGCUUUUCCACAACAAUCAUCAGCUUCUUCAAUUAGGAUGCUACAAGCCCUUGUCUAUAUACUAGCUUAAAUUGCAACAACCUUUGAUUCCGAGAGAAGUUUGGCCUGAUCCAACGGUAGUCAAUGCGUGCUCAAUCUGUACUAGCUUUCUGGUAGGACUGAAAGUAGUGAGAGAAAAGGAGUACUGGCUAUCACCCAUGGUUUAUUGCUUGAAGACGCAGAGAGGAAAAACUGCGAAUGCGAGCGUGUGGGAGAGAAAGGCAAGGAUAUUUACUUGGGGUUUGAACUUUGCUUUUCUUGUUGGAGAAGGAGGAGUUUUCUUACGAGGGCUUUUACAAUGGAGUAUUUUGGGCUUUUAUGACGGCAGGUUGGUUCUCUUUACAUUGAGCUCAAUGAAGGCUUUAAUUUUUUAAACUUAACUUUAUCCGGGUCAGUUCACGGGAGAAGUUUAAUUUUUUUUUUUUUAAGAAAAUAAAAUAACAUUAUUUUUAGUACUUUUUUAAAAUGAUAUUUUACCUGAGUCCACAGGCGAUGUAUAAAGUUUUUUUUAUUUAAAAUAAUAUUUUUUUUUUAUUUUAAUAUUUACUUACUAUUUGUAUACUAAAACAGUAAAACAUGUGAGAUUUUCACUUUAUAUUUGUUACUGUGCAAAAUUUUAUUUUUUAGUUUAGUCCUCAAACUUUAUUUUUGAACUAUCAAGUCCUAUUUAAAAAACAAUUGAUUUUAAAUUCUGAUAAAAAAUUUGGAUUGGAAGAGAGGAACUGAAAUGAAAAACACGAUAGAUAUGGGUAACGCACCUUAAAUUUUUAAAACAUUCUCUUUGGUCUUCCAACUUAAACAAUCACACAAAUUAUAUAAUUUUGGUACCUCAAAAUUGUUCCAAUUCCAUUUUGGUGCGAAGAUUUAUUUUUGUUAUUUUCUAGUUCCUAAUUAAGAGAGGAGAGAAAGAAAGGGGUCACUAGAUUCCAAUAAUAAAAAGAGAAACUUGUCGUUGACACCAACUUAAACCACUAAAAUAAGGGAUCUUUAUGUCAAAUUAUUAGGGGAGUUCCUAUUAGAUGUUUUUGUAACUUAAAAGUUCAUGAAAAAAAGGAUCUAAACUCGGGUUAAUUUUUUUUAUUUUAGACUGUGUUUGGUUUUUUAGGCAGUUUUUUGGAUCUAGUAUGGUUUCCCGAUCCAAGUACCUAGGGUCUGGCAUAGUUGCUAUAAAAAUAUAACUUUAAAGAAUAUAAUUAAAAACAAAUAAAGUGACGUGAUUAGUUAAAAACUAAAAAUAAUAAUAAAAAAAAAGACUUAACCUCAUUUUUUUGUUGUUCAGAAGGCUUCUUUUAAAUAAUAUUAAUUUUUUUUAUGAGUUUAAUUUUCAGAGAGGUUUUCUAGUGUAUUUAUGGUUUUGUUUGUCUUUUAUAUAAAUAAAUUAUAUUUUGAAAAUAACAAAAUAUUUAUUUUCAGAUAAUAUUUUUAAUAUGUAGUCUUCGUAGUGAUUGAUGAUGCCAAUUGUAAAUGAAUGGAGGAGGAAGCAUCAAGAUCGUUAGCUUGUUUGAAGGCAGAUAGACCUUUGAUCAUUAGAUGAUGCCUCUAAACGAGGCUCCAUAUUAUAAAGGCAUAACAAAGAGAGGAUGAGAGAAAUAAUUAUAGACCAGUUAGGUGGUUUGUGCUACAUCGCGGGCUCACCUUUAAUUUCUAAAAUAAAACUGGGUGAGUACCCAAGUCUAUUUAGGUCCUUUUCAAAUAGGAGCCAAGCAUAUUUGGGUUCUAUCGCGGCCAAGCCAGGUAGGACCUAAGGUUAUUUGGGUCAUGUACCUGGCAGGACCCAAGGUUAUUUUUGAGUCCUACAACUAAUAAUUUGUAUUUAAUUUUUAAAUAAAACUAAAUGUAAAAUUAAGUAUAAUUUGAUAAAAUUAUUAUUACAAUACAUUUGGUAAAAUUAAUAAAUGAUAUAACAUUUUCUUUCAAAUUCAUAAAUUAUUUUAUUAAUAAUAUUAAUUACAAUAAAAUAUACUCUUAUAAAUUUUAAUAAAAAUAAUAAUAUUUAUAAUACAACUGAUAAAAUUUUUAGUAUUAAUAUUAUUAAUUAAUAUAAACAUAAUAUUAUUUAUAACACCAAAAAUAAUAAUAUUUUUGAGAUUAAUACUAUAAAUUAGACUAAAAAAUAAUAGUAAUAAAACAAAUAAUAAUAUUUUUAAUACUAAUACUCUUAAUAUUAAUUAUACUAAAAAAAACUAUUAAUAAAAAAAAUAAUAUUUCUAAUACUAAUAUUUGGAAUUAUACUAAAAGUAUGUACGGGCAGCCCAAGCGUUAAGUGGCGCUUGAACUGCACUCAAGAAAAAGCAUAUUAUUUUAAAAUAUUAUUUGUCCACUAAUUGCUAAUAUAAAUACACUUUUAAAACUAAUAUAAAGUCACCCAGAGUCAAUUUGAUAGCUGCUUGCAUAAAAUCUCAUUGAAUGUGGCCAAUGUUUUUUAGAAUAAAGUGAAAUAAAAAGUUAUUUCAAAACAUAACCACAGUAGUUUUUAAUUAUUGGUCUAGAAACUUUAGUAUAUCUCAUAAAAUCCAUGAGUUUUGGAUGAAAUAAAAUCAAUUCUAAAAUCAAACUCCGAUUGAAGCUUCAACUGCAUUUGUGAGCUAGAAAAUUUAACUUAUUAAGUUAGGUUUGUUUUUGCAUUUUAAAAGCGUUUUUAAAAAUUUUAAAUUUAUUUUAUUUUUUUCUUUGCUUUAAAUUAUUUUUUUUUUGUGUUUUUAGAUCAUUUUGAUGCGCGAAUAUCAAAAAUAAUUUUUAAAAAAUAAAAAAAAUAUUAUUUUGAUAUAUUUCUAAGUAAAAAUCAUUUUAAAAAGUAAUCACAACAAUAUUUUCACACAAUCUCUUCAAAACUUGUGCUUUUUAAAACAUGCAUUCAAACGCAAAGAAAGCAUAUAAAACACAUCAAAGUUGCAAAAGUAUGUAGUUUUAAUUAUUAGCAAAAGGGUUUAAAUACCCUAAAUAUCCGUAAAUAACUAGAAAACAAUUAAUAAAAAAAUAAUAAAACUAAAAUCCAAAAUUUUCAAGGAGAAAAUCUAAAAUAUGGUCUGAAAUUUCAAAGGCAGCUUUUUUAGAGUGGCAUUUGGAGAAUUUAAGUGAGGAAUAAGCUUCACGUGAGCGAGAUAAUAUCAUCUUAGAUUAAUUUUUUUAACAUGUAAAAUUUAAGUCUAAUUCAAUAAUUAAAUAAAAAAAAUUACCUCUUCCUGCCUGUCUUAACUAUUCUUUACAUAUGAACAUAUGAAUUACAUAUUAUUUUAUGUUGAGAGAGAGAAAGAGAGAGAGAGAGAGAGAGAGAGAGGAUGUGAGAGAGAGAGAGGGGUGUAUAUAUAUAUCACAGCUGCAUUUGAUAGAAUAAAUGGUAAGCAGGAAAUACAAUCCAAAGUCAACAUUAUACAGAUAUUUGACUCACAAUAAAUCAUCCAUACUCUUAUAAAAAAUAAAGAUGGGUAAACUCUUAAUUAGGCCUUGCUGCUGAAUUUUGUUGUUGAUUUGUAAUUUAAUUAUUGUUGAAGAUUUUUUGUGUUGGCAACCCAAACUAUCAUUGUGUUGGGUUUGGAUAACUUUAUUUGGAUUUAAUCUCCAAAAUCGAUGGGUAUCAUCACUUAUAGAUGAAUGGUUUAGCUUCUCUCAUUUUUUUGGAUUUAAUCCACUGAAACUGAGGUUUAAGAAUUUCUUGGAUUUAAUCCACUGAAACAGUUGCUUGAUCAAGAUCAUUGGCUUGUUUGAAGGCAGAUAAAGGCUUAAAAAAGAAGAAGCAAAUAUCAUCUUAGUUGAAAUUUCAAAGGCAAUUUUUUAGAGUAAAGAGGAAAUAAUUAAUACACUCAAAGCAGGUUCUAAAGAGUUCUGUCUUUCUCACCAAACAUGCAAAUAAAUCUUUGGGAUGUGAGAAAUCUUUUGCCAAUCUUCACCCAUCUCCUCCUUCCUACAGCUGUAACGUUUCCUUAGAAUGGGGCAACCCCUUAUCCCCAAUGCCUGCAGAGGCGCUGCCAAAACAUAGUCUGGUAGUGCUCUCAACAAUUGGCAAUAUUCAAUUCCCAAGUACUGAAGUUGUGGCAUAAUGGAUAUUAUUGAAGUUGUGUUGGCAUCUUCUUCUCCCACUCUCCUUUCCUUCCCACUCUUCUACUUCUCCGAGACCGUCCAUCCAAAGUUUUUUUAAUUUGGGGAAAGCAGUGACCCUUGCAAUUUCUCCUUCAUUAAUACUGGCCUUCUCAUCUUUUUCUAUACCUAAAAAUCCAGCAUCCAACCUUCUCACCUUCAUUGAGCUCAAUACCAGGCUUUCAAGGUUGGGCAAUCUUCCCAACGGAGGCAAGACCUCCACGUUUUCACAAUCACGGAGUGUAAGCUUCUGUAAUCUGGUUAAUGUCAUCAUCCAAUUUGGCAAAUCCAACCCUCCGUAGCUAUACAUGGUUAGAUUUUCCAAGUCUGACGGAGGCUGUAAAACUUCAAGUAAAAUGUCGUUCUCCCGGUUGAAGUCAAAAUCCAAUUGCAAACAAAGCAGGCGCUUCUUAUUCUUGAGUUGUGCUUCUGCAGCGUCACUCGCAUCUUCUUUACCUCCUCCUAGAUUCCGUAUACGAAGACUCCCUCCAAUGUGAUUUAAGUCUUUUAAUUCUCUUAGAUUAGCUGCUUUACUUUCAUUCUCACCACCACCACACACAGUAACACAUCUAAUGUUUGAAGACAUGUUAUCCUCUCUACUCCCUUUGGUAUGAAGGCCACACCUGAAAGAACAACCCGGAGAUGCCUCAAUUUGAUAAGUUUUCCAAUCGCAUUAGGCAAUUCCUUGAGAGAAGCACACAGAGUAACGUCUAGGGAUUGCAGAUUGCAUAAAUCACACAUGGUUUCUGGCAGGGACUCCAACUGAUAACAAGAUGCCACAUUGAGGUGUCUCAAAUGUAUCAAAUUCCCUACCUCGUUUGGUAUUUCUUUGAUUGAAGACCUUGUCAAAUUCAAUGACCUGAUGCAUGUCAACUGCUUGAACAAAUCAGGCAGUGCAACUCCAAGCGAAGGGUCUCUAGUGUCCAUCAAGAGGCUGCGAAGACCUUUUGCUUUGUGAAUGGACUUGGGAAACGAGCUCUCCUCUGACAGCAUCAUGCUUAAAUGACGAACCCUUUCAAUUGAAGUCUCCACUGUUGCUUUUCCAAGUUUACUGGCAUCCACUGUUAGACAUUCAUUUUUUGUCAUAUAUUGGGAAAAAUCAUGCACUAUAUCAUGCAUCUUGAAUUUCAUUCCUUCACACCAAUCCAUCUCAAAAUCUUGGAAGAAAGAACGCGCUGCUAAGACUUGAAAGUACUGCUCUCCUACACCCGAAGUCUCCUUGAG